GAUCUCUGGGCUCAGGAAUAAGGGAAGGGAGAGCCAGAGUGAAAGAAUGCAGCUUAUCAGCCCAGACAGUGACCCAGACCCAGAAAUAUUGGCAGUGCCCUCUCCAAAAUCUUGUAAGAUCAUGAGACUUUACGAGAAGCGUGAAAAGGAAAGGAAGAGAAGGUAGGGGUUUUCCUGUUGGGGGAAAAAGGGGGCAGGGCUUAGUUCCAGCAACUGUGCUAUCUGAGGAUGAUGGCGAUUAGCUGAGUUCCGACCUGGUUUGUUUGUUUGAACAAUAAAUCUGAAAUAAUUGACUGCCGGAGUGGUCUCGCAUUUGUGGGAGAGACCCAGGCCAUUACAGUUGGGCAGUGAAUGACCCCUGUCUGAAACCAUAGAAAACUACUAUCAGUGCAAACAAUGAUAAGCUUAAUGGACCAAUCGCCUGACUCAGUAUUAGGCAGCUUCUUAUGUCUCAGAUCUGGGACUUUCACAUAAUCUGCUACCUGAUCCCAGAACUUGUUGCAUGUGAAGCAUGUGCUCAGCAGCCCUGAUAUGAUAGAGGCAUAGUGCAGAGAAAGCACAAGAGUAAAGAAAGAGCCAAUAGAAAAUGCAGGGGACUGAAACAUUUGGCAUUGCAAAUGUGGAUUUGGUCUUCAGAACAUGCCUAGAUGGAAGUUUUGAAGAGAGGCUAAGUGUACACAUCUCUCUCCUGCAACCUGUGUAGGCUGGCAUCACCAGUCCAUGUGAGAGGUUUCUCUCCCACCUCUAUCUGCAGCACAGAUUGAAGGGGUAGAGGAUCCUCACUGGCAAUCUGCAUUGAGUAGAGCAGCUACGUAACGGCUCAAAAGGAAGUAUGUCACAGUUUGCAGAGGCAAGUUUUGGUGCUUCACAGACAGAGUUUGGAAUAGAAGACUGAAAUAGAAAGCUGUCAUACAGCAUUUAAUAUUUUAACAUGGAAAGGCUGGAAUAUGCCUGAUAAAAUAGCAACAACAACAAAAACAUGGUAGUAUGCUGUUCAAGGGGUGGGGAAGCAUAUCUAAAGUUGGGCAUAUCUAAAGUUGCACAUUGGAUCUCAGCCAUUUUCUUUAUUAAAUUGUUGUUAUGGAAUAUUAAAGUUCACUGAGAAAUUUCUGCACUCAGCUUAUACCUGACCUUUCCCUUUGUCCUAAGCUAUGUGUUAAUUAUUGGAUUGUCCUUUACUUAAUAAAGGACUUCAUCCUAUCUACUCAAAACAUAUCCAGAAUCCUCUUUUAGGGUCUAGGAACCUAGAUAAGAAGACUGCUAACUGCAAGGCAAUAUAGGAUAUUAAAUUUCAUUGGUGCAUUCAUCCCUCUGCCCUUAAUAUAUAUUUUUUGCUUUAGGAUAUUAGAUAUUGUUGGUCAUUGAGAUAUAGCUGUACUUUUUAUUAUUGACUCCAGUUUUAUUUAAAUCCUAAUCUCUUAAAUCCCAGCCUCAUGGGUGCACGACAUGAAGCUCCACCUUAGCCUUCGACAACCUGGUGCCUUCAAGAUGGGACUGAUGUGAUUUGCAGUCCAGAACAUCUGCAUGGCACUGAGCUGGCUAAUGAAGGCUGUUCUGCUUUGUGCACCUGACUCACCAAAGUCAGAAGGGCAUAAUAUGGCGUUUUUGAAUUUACGUGGGGAUACCCACAUGAAAUACAAAGGUCCAUAAACUAAAACAAAUUUGGGGGGAAAUCCUAUGUGAAUUAAAUAAUCUGAUGAUUAGAGCUUACUCACUGAUAUUUUGCAGGUUUGUUAUUGUUGCUGUGUUAACUAUGCCACAAGUAGACAAUGAAAUUAUGAAGUGUCAUAGACUCUACAACCUUUCUCUGGAAAAGGACACCCUGUGUCUAAAUUCAAGCAGCUUUCUCUUAUUGUCAUUUCUGAUCAGCUUCUUGAGAGCCUCUGUAUUCUGCAAGAAUCAACAGUAAAAUGUUAAGUGUUCAGUCAUUAAAAAAUCAUUUGAUAUUCAUUGAAACACUAUUAAUCAUCACACAUUCAUUUGGCAUUCAUGGGGCUGUCACACGGACUUCUCUAGGAGUUCAGUUAUAAUAUGCAUUAGCUAAUGAGCAUAUAAAGCAUUCCUGAAUCAACAUAGCAGCACAACAUUUUUCUUAUUUGCAUUAUUCAUGUUCGGUAGAUUUUAGGGUUGCAAUAGCUGAGGCAUACUUUUGGCUUUUCUGGGGGGGAAAUUGAGGCAGCUGCUAUCAAUAUAUUUACUUAUGAGAGCCCAACGAUUUGUGUGUUAGCUAACAGCUGCCCUGCAUGCCUGGAACUUUGCCAUUUCAAUGUGUUUCUGUUGUCAGAAUUGAAGCAGAAUGUACAAUGCAGUAUAGGUCUUUAGAUCCAUGAGUGCCUCUUUGUGGGCAGUCUGCUGUACAUCAUCAAGCUACUGAUGCGAUUUGCUUCUAAGUAAGAGGCACUUGCUUUCACAGUGUUAAAGAAAUCUUUCAAUAUUUAUGAAUGUAGCAAUCUGGUUUAAUUGUGAAGAAGAAUGCUUGUGUUUGCCCCCAGUUAUAAGAAGCCUGAUGUCCUUCGUUAUGAAAAGCACAUUCUGGAUUCAGGCACAUGACCCUUCCUGCUUGGAUGUAUCAACCGAAUGUUUAGUGGUGACCUUUAGAAGCUGCCAUUAAUCCUUCAUCUAUGAAUUGGGGAGGGGGGAUAAAGGCUAUUGUGCUUUUGCUAACAUUUUCUGUAACAUUUUAUUUUCUCCUCUUUGUCUCAUAGUGUGGCCGUGUUCCAGGAAAGUGUGCAAGUAUGGGUGUUUCCAGACUGUCAAUAUUUGGGGGUGGAAUUCAGACGUAUACCAGCAAAGUCAGGUUCCAUAAUUAAAAGUUGAUUUAGAGCUCCUGCACAACAGAACUACUUCCCUGCACCCCCUCCCCACAACCCUGUCCAGGCAAAAAUAAUUCCACACUUCUUGCAGUAAGGAAAGUGAUAAGUAAACCCCCUGGAGAGUAUAGGAUAAUAUUUUCUUAACACAACAUCUCUGAACCUCCCUGCCAAAAAAAAUUAAAAAUUAAAAAAUUAAAAUAUAUAUCAGAAUGAACACCCAAUAAAUAGCACAUUUUGUCUAAAUCCCAACUUUUUGCAACCAAAUCAGGAAGAAUGCUCAGUUAAAUAAGCCAUCCAGAACCAGCCUAAUUCUACCUAGCUAGUAGGGCUCAGUAUUUGGUUCUCAUAAUGCCUAAUGAACAGAAAGCAUUGCCAUUUUCUCCGGGUUGUAAAACCUUUGCAGCCCAUGCAUCAAUCAAAAGAAGCCAGGACAAUCUGGUUCAAAAAAUUUUAAUCACUACUUGUGCUUUGAGCCCCAAAACCCAUCCCAAAUGGAAAUAAAGACACAGUGAAGACAGAAUUUAGUUUAAAUGUUAAUGGGCAAAUCUUUGGCCACAACUUUAUUAAAAUACACAAAUGUGACUGGUAUUGGCUUAGGCAUUGGUAUCAAACUAUAUCUGGCUCCUGCCCCACCCUGCAGGAAGCCUGGAAGGGUAAACAACCAGCAGGGGGAUCUCCAUCAGUGUAUAUUGACUGGUGCUCACCCCGGGGUUUUCCGGGGGUCCUGGCAUGGCCCUAGCCCCUCUCCGGGCUUUGGACGAGAGCCAGACCCCCAGAUUCUUUUAACGGAAUACCCUAUUCAUUGGAAGGGCAGGUGAUGGCCGCACCUCCCCUCCCCACAUUCCCCUAAACCAAUGCCUAACUGCCAAAACUUACAAAGUUGUGACGAUUGCUAAGAGGUAGGCAAAAACCAAGUGGCCACAGCCAAUCUGCCACAUUGGAAAAAAUUCCUACCUGGCCCCCAUUCCAAAAACAGGUGACCAGCCGAAGUCCAAAGCAAGGCCAAACAUGACCUGAUUAGCGGGUGGGUUGGCAGGUGUUUGGCAGCGCGAAGCAAAAGGAGGUCCCUAUGUCGUGCUGCCAAAUAAAUACCCCCAACCUUGCCACGCUGCUGAUUGGCAUAACUGUGGCACCACCGGCUUGGAGUGGGGCAAGCCCCACCCACAAGCCGGUUAAGGAAGAGUUCCAGGGCCGAGCACAACAUGGACCCUCUGUUAGGAGGAUCCAACUUACAGAAUGAGCUGGUGCCCAUUACCUUUCAGCUCUGCCUAUCUUAGAACCUGCAAAAUAAAUAAAAAAUCCUUCCACUAGCUUCUUGAGGUAAGAAGUGUGCAUACAAACAAAAGCUCAUACCAAUAACAAACUUAGCGGGCGGCGCUGUGGGUAAAACCUCAGCGCCUAGGACUUGCCGAUCGCAUGGUCGGCGGUUCGAAUCCCCGCGGCGGGGUGCGCUCCCGUCGUUCGGUCCCAGCGCCUGCCAACCUAGCAGUACGAAAGCACCCCCAGGUGCAAGUAGAUAAAUAGGGACCGCUUACCAGCGGGAAGGUAAACGGCGUUUCCAAGUGCUGCGCUGGCUCGCCAGAUGCAGCUUGUCACGCUGGCCACGUGACCCGGAAGUGUCUGCGGACAGCGCUGGCUCCCGGCCUCUAGAGUGAGAUGAGCGCACAACCCUGGAGUCUGUCAAGACUGGCCCGUACGGGCAGGGGUACCUUUACCUUUACCUUUUAAGGUGCUACUGGAAGGAAUUUUUUAAUUUUGUUUUGACUAUGGCAGACCAACAUGGCUACCUGCCUGUAACUAGAACUAUGGAAGGCACCACAUUGAGCCGCAUGAAAUGGAAGUCCAUUGACCGUAUCUGAAGAAGUGUGCAUGCACACUAAAGCUUAUACCAAUGACAAACUUAGUUGUUCUCUAAGGUGCUACUGGAAGGAAUUUUUUUUAUUUUAUUAGAACCUGCAGACACGAUGAAUCUUAUUUUAGCAGAGACAGCAUUAUGUUUGACUGUCAGGAACCUGGCUUGAAUUGUUAAUGGGAAACCUACUUAACCUAUACAAAAUAUUCUUCUGCCUACUCAAAAUAGUCAUGAUGUAUUUGACAUCAAGAAAACCAUACUCACCAACUUGGAACACCCCACAAAAACUCUCUGCCCACUCUAAGAUUGUUGCUAGUGCCCGGACUACAUUAAAUCAAUCUUUCUUUCUUUCUUUUUUAAAGCUUUUGAAAUAACAAUCUGACAGAAUAUUGUAUGGAGGUUAUUAAAGAUAAAACCUCAGAAAGAUGACUUUGGAAAUAUUUAUUAUUACUUUGAAAAUACACAUUCAUAGAGGCAAAGGGUAAAAAUAUAAUUAAAGUGUGGAGGCUUAUCUGUGUGACCUGAGCAUGCUUAUUUUCUUGUCUCGUUUUAAGCAUCACAAAGAUGCCAGGAACUGAUCCUCUGCUCUUUCUUGUUCACAGGCAGCAUUUUGUGUUGUUAACAACUCUAUUUGGAAAUGGCUCUUGAUCUCUAAACAAAACGUUAGCAUAGGAAAAUAAGAGAAAUAAAUAAUAAUUACAGCAACAACAACAACAACUGCCAUAUGGCUACAUGAUUAUUUCCAUUUUUUGGCAUGCAGAAUAAUAAAAAAAAGACAUUUCUAAAUCUUUAUUCGCCUGGAGAGAUUCAGACCAGGUAAACCUUCUAAACAUCUGGAUAUUUGUCUAAAUUGGGGGUGGGGAACCUGUGGCUCUCCUAGUCUUCUUGAGCUAUAUGUCCCAUCAUCCCUCGUGACUGACAAUGCUGGAUGGGGGUGAUGGGAACUGGAGGCCAACAACAUCUCAGGAGUCAGAUUCCCUACUCCUGAUUGAAAUGGUUCCAGCCCUCAGACAUGUUAGUGAGUACUCCUUUUCACAGCUUUGGGGACUGUGUGAAGGGAGGGAACUGAGAUAGUACCUGUUAUCAUGACUCCUGAAAGCAACAUUUCAGAAGUUUUAUGGAACAUCUGAAUAGACCCUAUGUGCAUGUCGCCUGUGCAGAAAACCUAUACACAUUCCAUUUUAUGCAUAUAGCUCUAGUCAGAACAUCAGAUGUGCAAUCUCAAUUUACACCCCACCUCCGUGCAUUUGUUGGAAGUGCAAAAAGUGCUGCUGCAGUUUUAUUUAUUAUUUGGAAGAUUUCUAUGCCACCCUUCGGUUAAAAACUCCCAGGGAAAGCGUACCAAAAAAGAAUAAAAACAGCAACUAUAUAAAUACUCCAAGAAUAAAACAGCAGAAGCAGCAAUUAAAACAGAGGCAUAAAAAAUUCAGCAGAACAAACAGAGUCAUAAUCUGAGCAAAUUUAGAUUAUAUAAUGAGAUGUCCAGUGAGAUUUUUAAAAAGUUGGCCUCAAAAUAGCACCAGAGCUCAUGCUACAUGAAACUCUUUGAAGAAGGUAUUCCAAUAAUAUUCUCUUCAGGGCACAGUAUCCAGAAUGUCCCUCUUCCCAGUUACCUAUCACCAUCAUUUUGUAGUCAGACAAAACAGAGGUCAGUGAAGAGUUUAGGCAAGCUCAUAGGGUUAGGGGUUUCUCUUUUUGUGUGUGUGUGUGUUAUAAAGCUUAGGUUUCCAAUUGAACACAGUUCUAAGAAAAAUCAAUACAGGCACUUUGACAGACACAGGGGAGCCAUUGCAGCAACAUAUUUUCAAGGUAUUGAUAUGAGAAGGUAGCACAGUGUAGGUAGUUUAGGCCUGCACAAAUGUGUGACCCACCAGCCAUGGAGGACAGAUGUGUCAGAUCAUCACUGUAUGGUUAUGUAACCCAAGGUGGGAAAAGCAAAUAAGAGGUGACAUGAUAGGGUUGUCAUAUGUCCGGAAUUUCCUCGACAUACCAGGAAUAUUGCACUCAAAAACAGUGUCCGGGCAGAAAUUGGUAAAAUGUCCAGGAAAAUCUAGAUGUAUGUCAGCAGUGGGGUUUUUGCUGAUUUUCUUUAAAAACAGCUAAAAAACAAUUUUGCCGAUUUUGCCAAAAAAAAAGUUCAACUUUGGGCAAAACUAGAAAAAGCUCAGCAAUUUUUCACUUUUUGAAAUAUGGAAACUGUCAUGAAAGAAGUGUAUAAAACAUGGCAAAGAGAAAGUAGAAACUUUGUCCCCCUCUCAUAACACUGUCAGGUUUCAGUGAAUUCUGAUCCUCUCCCCUUUCAUGGCAGACAGCCAAGGAAGCUCUUACCGAGUCUAUAUUCAAUCUUCACAGUGCCUCUGUACGCUGCCUCUUAGGUUAAUGGUGUUGGUCCAACAGAAGAAGAGGAGGAGGAGGAGGAGGAGGAGGAGGAGGAGUUUGGACUUGAUAUCCUGCCUUUCACUCCCCUUAAGGAGUCUCAAUCUCCUUUCCCUUCAUCCCCCACAACAAACACACUGUGAGGUGAGUGAAGCUGUAAGACUUCAGAGAAGUAUGACUAGCCCAAGGUCACCCAGCAGCUGCAUGUGGAGGAGUGGGGAAGUGAACCUGGUUCACCAGAUUACGAGUCCACCGCUCUUAACCACUACACCAUGCUGGCUCUUCCCCCCUCCCUUCCUAGCAACAGCACUUCCCCUUCAGGUGGCUGCCAGGAGCUAAUUGUCUCUAAGUCCUUUGCUUUUCCACUUUCAAUGCAUGCCGGGUUCUGGGAGAAGGGGGGUCAGAAAUGCUCUCCAGUGAUAAUGUGUCAGCUGGCUCCUCUGUCUCCCCCUUCUCUUCUCCCAACACCUCCCAACUCUUCUGUUCACCUGUAUCUGAGCUGUGACCUUCCUCAAACCACUGCUGUGAUUCAAUACUGCCUUCCUCUUUUCUGGAAGGUUCAGGCGGAGGGGGGAUGGUCUCCACCAUUCGUCCUCAGUCUCGUCCCCUCAAUCCAGUCCCUGACACACUAGAAUGCUGAAUAUCCAAUGAAGCUGCAUGUUGGAAGUUUGAGGAUGUAGUUAAACUAUGGAAUACCUUCCCACAAGACUAUGAUGGCCACUAACAUGGAGGCGUGCAUUAUACAAAUGCAUAGAAGACUAUCAAUGGCCACUAGCCAUGAUGGCUAUGCUCUCCCUCCGUGGUCAGAGGCCAUAUUCUUCUGAAUACUACUUGCUGGAAAACAUAGGAGGGGGAUUUCUCUUGCGCUCAGUUCUUGCUUGUGGGCUUCUCACAGGCAUCUGGUUGUACUUUGAGAAUAGGAUGCUGGACAAGAUUGGUCUGAUCCAACAAGCUCUUUUCAUGUGUUUAUGUUUGUCUCUUUGGAGUAUUCCAGGAUAGCAACAUGCUGAGGUACAAAGCCUAGAGAUCAUGAUAUGUAGUUAUCCUAAGAGUUGCUGGAUCCCACUUACCAUAAAUCUACCUUAGCAUAGCUGAAAAUAAUGGUUACCACCAGAACAUCCUGCCGCAAUCCUGCUACCCCGGUCUGCUCUCGACAAAUACUUUGUAUGCUGCUCAUGCCAUGGAUUGGAAAAAAGGUAUAUAUUUGGGAAAAUCACAGCAGCAUCCUGGAAAUGUGGUUUUUCUUGAGCCCAUGCUCAGAUCUCUCUGGAGAGAGGUGACAAUCUGCCUCAUGCCUGCCACCCAAAAUAAUCCAAGCAAGAGACAGACAAUGGCAGCCCAAGCAAGGGGCAACUGGGUAUAUGGGGCUGACAGUAGGAAUGCCAAUUAAUACAUUUCAAAAUGUUCCAGUCCUUUCAGAAGGUGCUGAGCAGUUUAGGAAAGUGGACCAUAGAGGUAGAGCUCCAGGAGAGCUGAUCAACUGAGGCAGACUGGCAUUGAUGAAACCUUAGCUCCAGCCAAGGUUAACUUAGAUUUCAGGGGGCCUUUGGUGCAGUGCUGACAAUGCCCCCCACCCCAAAACAGUCUCACCUACUGGGGCAGGCCUAUGGAGGAAAGGGAGAGGCCAAGGGGUCAGAGAUAUCCUGUUACCAAAAGCCACCAAACCCUGAAGCCAGACCUGUCGAAUAGGAAAAGUUCUCUAAAUCAGGGAAAGCCAAUGUGGUGCCAACUUCCACCAGCCCAUCCAGCAUGACAUUUGGUCAGGAAUGAUGGAAGUCCAAAACAUCUACCACACUGCUUACCCCUGCUUUAGAUUAUGCCUUCUGCGCAAGUAUGGACAACAGUGGAAUAGCUGGAAAAGCUAUUGACUUGUAUCCAAAACCACAUCUGCUUGCUCAAGUCAAUCCUGCUGAAUUCUUUCAAUUUCGCCAUCUCACUGCAGCCAUCACCCCGCCCUGCCCCAUCCCCUUGCCCCAGCCUACUUCAUUCCAUAGGAUCAGGAGUAGUUUCAUGGGGGCAUAGGCACCGUAAGGGAAGGAAAAACCAGGAAAGUCUCACUGACCAAACAAAAUUUCACUCAGUCUUCUAUGGAUCUAACCCAUAUAAUGCUGAUUAUAACAUUAUAAUGUGACAUAUCAUGUUAGCCAUAGAACUCUUAAUAUUACCAAAUGUAACUUUUAAAAAAAUCAAAAUGCAUUGUUUACUAUCCCAGAUUUUGCAUAAUUUAUAUCAAAACUAGUGUGUGAUCAAAUGAUAGUCUAUUGGAGAUAGUAACUGAAUCAUUAUCUUGGUUCCCCCCCCCCCUUUAAACAAAAUCAGAAGAGGGAUAUAUUUGAAAAAGUGUUGUGUAUGACUACCAUCUAGCUGCUGGCAUUUAAAAUGUAUUCUAUUAAUCUUAUAAUCAUGAAUCACUCAGACACAAUCAAAUGAAUCUUCAAAUUCUUAGUCUCCUGUGCAGUUUAUACAUCACUUUAGCAGAUUUCCCUUGCUUUCGCCCUAACCUUAUGAUUUCUUAUUUCCCCACCGUUACAGAAUCAAUUAACGCUUUGUGUGCCCUUUCUACUUCUCUAAUGCACUGCAGGCAGUUUAGAAAGAGUUAAGUACAGAACUGACACUCUUCUAUAAUACGCCAUUGUCUAAAGUCAAUAUAAUUCAUUUUUACUCAGAGGGAAGAUUAUAGAGCCACAUUUUUUAUAUAGUGGAAUUAUAUCUUUUAAUAAUACAAGCAGAUGCAAAAGAAGAAGAAAAAAGAAAUCCCACACACUUCUGUUGUUGUUUUCUUAGUGUACCUUACUUUCUAAUUUUUUGUUAAUUAAAUGUGCAUUCUGUACCUUAGCUAUACAUGAAGUGAAUACAUUUAAAAUGAAUUUGCCUCUUGGAUAAAACACAAACUCUUUCCAAAUGAAACAUUUCAAGGUAGAUUUGUGGGUGUAAUUUUCUCAUGUGGAAAUCUUCUUGCCUAGAAUUAUUUUGUAUAUAAGUUUCUUUUUGAGUCUUUUGUUUCACAAUCUCUGGGGCUGCCAUCUUAUAGACAUAAAUGCUCCAGUACCCGACUUCAAUUUUCCUAGAGAGGUGUGUGGAAAAAAGGAGAAAUGCAGUAUGAGUUGGAGAGUGGAGAUAAAUUAGACUAGAGGGAGAUGUAAGGUAUUAAAAAAUGCUCUGACUGCCAAAAAAAAAAAAAAAGGUUCACUGCACUCCAAGUCCACCUUCAAACCUGACUCAGGAGGAUAUUCUUUUGUAUAAUCCUAUCUCAGCACUGAAAUCACCUUAGGCAAGCCACCUUAGGCAAGCUUCAGUUUAGUUCCAGCCUUUCCCCUUACAUAAACUGAGUAUGCAGGACUACCUUACAAGGAUGAUGUAAACAUUACUGAUAUAUUGGACAUGAAACAUUUUAAUAUAGGAUAUAUAACUGAUUGGUUUAAUCCAUGAGCAGCUGCAUAAGAUCGAUAACAAACACAGACUUACUGUUUAAAAGACAACACAAACAGGGAAAGGGGUGAUAAGGGAAGAUUCAAGCAAGCAAACUCAGGCAGCAGUUCCUAAAUGGACCCGGUUGCUGACCACAGCUGAUGGGACAGGCCUCAUCCUCAUCUCUUCCUCUGCUGCAACCAAACAGAAUGGCUAACACUAAGUGACAGUUGAAAGAUGGGAGGAACCAAAUAGAGCUGGUUUCUCAGCAGAGCCAAAAUACCCAUAACGAGCCAUCACAUUCGUUUCUUUUUAUAUAUAUAUAAGAUAUUUAUUAAAGUUUCAGCAUAUUACAAAAAUAAGAGAAAGAAGUAAAAAAAUAAAAAAUAAAAAUAAAAAUACAAGGUAAAAAAAACAGUUAAAAACAAGUCCAUCUUUCCAUAUCUUAUCUUUCAUUUGCUUGUUUCCCUGACAUCCUCACACCUCCCCUUCUUGCAUUCCAGUUCAAUUAGUUAAUUCAGCAAUUCCUUUCCCUCUUUGAUUUUAUCUUAAUCUUUUAUCUUAAUAUAUUAUAAUUUUAGAUUAUCACCUGUUAACAAUCCAUUUUUACAUAUUCCUUUAUAACAUUGCUGCUAAAAACCACUUAACUUCAAUCCAACAUCAUUCUAACAUUCAUUAAUUUUACAGUAUUUCUGUAGAUAGUUUUUAAAUUUCUUCCAAUCUUCCUCCACCGACCCCUCUCCCCGGUCUCGGAUUCUGCCAGUCAUUUCCACCAGUUCCAUAUAGUCCAUCACCUUCAUCUGCCAUUCUUCCAGAGUGGGUAAAUCUUGUGUCUUCCAAUACUUUGCAAUAAGUAUUCUUGCUGCUGUUGUAGCAUACAUAAAGAAAGUUCUGUCCUUCUUUAACACCAAUUGGCCAACCAUGCCCAGGAGAAAGGCCUCUGGUUUCUUCAGAAAGGUAUAUUUAAAUACCUUUUUCAUUUCAUUAUAAAUCAUCUCCCAGAAAGCCUUAAUCCUUGGCCACGUCCACCAAAGGUAAAAGAAUGUACCUUCAGUUUCUUUACAUUUCCAACAUUUAUUAUUGGGCAAGUGAUAGAUUUUUGCAAGCUUGACUGGUGUUAUGUACCACCUGUAAAUCAUUUUCAUAAUAUUCUCUCUUAAGGCAUUACAUGCCGUAAACUUCAUACCUGUGGUCCAUAACUGUUCCCAGUCAGCCAUCAUUAUGUUAUGUCCAACAUCUUGUGCCCAUUUAAUCAUAGCUGAUUUCACCGUUUCAUCCUGAGUAUUCCAUUUCAACAGCAAGUUAUACAUCUUUGACAAAAUCUUGGUUUUGGGGUCUAACAGUUCUGUUUCCAAUUUUGAUUUUUCCACCUGGAAGCCAAUUUUCUUAUCCAAAUUAUAUGCCUCCAUUAUCUGAUAAUAAUGAAGCCAAUCUCGCACUUUAUUUUUUUAGUUUUUCAAAACUCUGCAAUUUCAAUUUGUCUCCCUCUUGUUCCAAAAUUUCCCAAUAUUUCGGCCAUUUGGCCUCCAUAUUGAGUUUUUUCUGAGCCUUCGCUUCCAUCGGUGACAACCACCUUGGGGUUUUAUUUUCAAGUAGGUCCUUAUAUCUUAUCCAGACAUUAAACAAUGCUUUCCUGACAAUAUGAUUUUUAAAUGCUUUAUGUGCUUUGACCUUAUCAUACCACAAAUAUGCAUGCCAUCCAAAUACAUUAUUAAAACCUUCUAAAUCCAAAAUGUCUGUGUUUUCAAGAAGCAGCCAUUCUUUCAGCCAGCAAAAAGCUGCUGAUUCAUAAUAAAGUUUAAGGUCUGGCAGGGCAAAUCCGCCUCUUUCCUUUGCGUCCGUUAGUAUUUUAAAUUUUAUUCUAGGCUUCUUGCCCUGCCAGAUAAAUCUAAAAAUAUCUCUCUGCCACUUCUUGAAACAAUCCAUUUUAUCCAAAAUUUGCAAUGUUUGAAACGAAACCAACAUUCUAGGCAAUACAUUCAUUUUUAUCACAGCAAUGCGGCCUAGCAGUGAAAGCUUCAAAUUUGACCAAAUUUCUAAAUCUUUUUUCACUUCAGUCCAGCAUUUUUCAUAAUUGUCUUUAAAUAGAUUCCCAUUUUUAGCUGUCAUGUUAAUCCCCAGGUAUUUCACUUUCUUAACCACUGUUAAGCCUGUCUCAUUCUGAAACCUCUCUCUCUCAAUCGCUGUUAAAUUUUUCUCUAAGACCUUUGUUUUUAACUUAUUCAGUUUAAAUCCUGCAACCUGACCAAAUUCUUGAAUCAGUUCCAAAACUCUUUUAGUACUAGAUUCUGGCUCCUGUAAUGUCAAUACUAAGUCAUCUGCAAAUGCUCUCAAUUUGUACUGUUUAGCUCUGACUUGUAUACCUUUAACCAAUUGGUCCCUUCUAAUCAUAUUCAGCAGGACCUCCAGGACCGAUAUAAAAAGCAAUGGGGAGAUUGGGCAACCUUGUCGUGUCCCUUUUUCUAUCUUAAAUUCCUCCGUCACCACGUUAUUGACAAUUAAUUUAGCCUUUUGUUCUGAAUAAAUUGCACUUAUACCAUUUCCAAAGCCUUGGCCUACCCCCAUCCCCUGUAGAUUCUUCUUCAUAAAACUCCAAGAAAUAUUGUCAAAAGCUUUCUCCGCGUCCACAAAUAUCAAAACUGCCUUGGUAUUAAUAUUCACUUGUAAUUUUUCUAAAAUAUUGAUUAUGUUUCUCAUAUUAUCAGACAAGUGUCUGAUAGCCUGCUUGAUCUUUAUGAAUCUCUUCCACUAGCACUUUUUUUAGUCUUUUCGCCAAAAUAUCUGCAAAGGUUUUAUAAUCCACAUUAAGCAGUGAUAUGGGGCGGUAGUUCUUGAGUUCUUUUCAGUCUCUGUUUUCGGUAUAAGUGUGAUGUAUGCUUCCUUCCACGACUCUGGUGCCCUUUUCCCAUCCAAUAUUUCAUUACAGACUUCCUUUAAAGGUUGUACUAACCAUUCUUUUAAAGAUCUGUAGUAUCUAGAAGUCAGUCCAUCCGGUCCUGGAAAUUUACCUAACUGCAUAUUCUGAAUGACACCUUCUACCUCCUGUUCAGUUAUUUUAUAAUUCGACAUUAAUUUGUUUUCUUGAGAGAUUUUUUGUAAUCCAUUUAUUUUCAAAAAUCGAUCUAUAUCAAUUUCUUUCUGUGGCCCUUGUGUAUAUAAUUGUUUAAAGUACCUCUGGAAACAUUUUCUAAUCUCGACUGGGUUCUGUAUGUUCUUUCCUUCCACUUCUAGAUUUAUAAUAGUGUUUAGUUUUUGUCUUUUUUUCAUUUGCCAGGCCAACAAUUUCCCACAUUUAUUAGCCGACUCAAAUGUCUUUUGUCUCAUUUGUUUAAUUUUCCAUUCUAUUUCCUGAUUCAUCAUUUUCAUAUAUUGUACUUGAUAUAACUUUAUUUCUCUCAAAAUCUCUUGCGACUUUGGUUUUACUCUCAAUUUCUUCUCACUUUCCUUUAUUUUCUCCAAAAUUUUAUCUUUCUUCUCAUUUUGGAUUCUCUUCUUUAUUGCAUUCUGUUGUAUCAAGAACCCUCUCAUAACCGCUUUGCUUGCGUCCCAGAUUACUCUUUUUUCAACAUUAGUGUUCAUGUUUGUCUCGAAAUAGCCUCUCAAGGUUUUUGGGGACUUCUUAGUCACUUCUUCAUCUCUAAAUAAGGUGUCAUUCAUCCUCCAUCUGAAAGAGCCAGUUGGUGUUAGUUUCAUCUCCAUCUUCACGGCAUUAUGGUCGGAGCAGGUUUUUGGACAAAUUUCCACUUUUCUUGUCUUUGGUGCCAUUCCUCUAGUUACCCAUAUUUGGUCAAUUCUUGUCCAUUUCAUUUUGGCUUCAGAGAACUAGGUUCCCUCUCUACCCAAGGGAUUCUUUGUUCUCCAAAUAUUAACUAAAUCCAAGUUGUCUGUCAUCUCAAAAAAGGUUUUCGGUAGUCUACCAUCCUUAGUGACUACCUGUCUUUGUGCCUUGUCCAUAUUUGUAGAUACCACUCCGUUCAUAUCCCCCAUCAAAAUCACAUUAUAGUCCAAAUAGUCCAUCAAGGUCUCAUGCAACUUUUUAAAGAAUUCAGAUUUCCCCUCAUUUGGUGCAUAAACUCCUACUAUCAAAAAUUUUUCUCCUUGUAUUUGAAUUUCAAUUGCCACAAAUCUUCCUUGGUCAUCUUUAAAGAUAAAUUUCAGUGAUAAACUCUCCUUUGCAUAAAUCACUACUCCUCUUUUUUUUACUUUGUCCGAUGAGAUAAACUCCUGGCCCAGUCUUUUGUUGAUCAAUACUGUUCUAUGUAGCCUUAUCACAUGUGUUUCCUGUAAACAAAUCAAGUCCAAUUGUUCCUUUUUUAAUAAAUGAAAAACUCUUUUCCUUUUCUGGGGGGAGUUGAGACCAUUAGUAUUCCAGCUUAAUAGUUGCAGAGCCAUGAUGUAGUUACUUUGCUUUUCCUCCAACUGCGCCAAGUGUUUGUUCUUGUUCUGUUGGUGGUAUCGCUUUCUCUAAGCAGUCCAGUCCAAAAGGUAGUGUUGCUAUGUCUAGUAUUCCUCUUUCUAGUGCUCUUAGCUCUUCUCCAGAUUCUUUCUGCAAAUCUUCUCCGUGAUCUUUCAAAAAUCUUUCUUUGUCGUCCACUGAUCUUAUUUUUAUCUUUCUUCCUUUGAAGCUAAAAGAUAGGCCUUGGGGAAAUUCCCACCUAAAGAUAAUUCUGUUGCUUUUCAUUUUUUUUUUUAAAGAAUGUUUAUUCCAAUUUUAAGAUUACAUAGAAAGAAAAAAGCAAAAAAAAGAAAAACAAAUCACAUACACCCUACAAAAAAAAACACCACACGAUACAGAAAAAAAAUACAAAGGACAAAAAAUCACAAUACAAAAGUAACAAAAAAUCAAAUUAAACCAUUAAGAUCAUUUUCCCAUUUACUUAUUUCCAAGACUUCCUCUCACUUCUCUGCUUUGUAUUCUAAUUUAAGUCGUAUCUCCAGCAAACCCUUCUAACCUUCUUUUCAUUUACUUAAUUUAACAUUCAAAAAUAUUUAAUUCUCCUCUAUUUUUUAUUUUACACUACAUAUUUCCUUAUUCCAUUAUACUCUGUCUGCCAAUACGGUCUAAUUCUGUUGCUUUUCAACAGGGCAACCAAAUCUCCGUAAUUGGACCUAAGGUCCAAAAGAUGUUUCGGGAUGUCUUUAAAUAUCUCCACUCUUGACUGAUGUAUUUCCAAAGUCUUCUGAAAGUGCAGACUCAAGAUUUUGUCUCUCUCCUCUUUUGUUCGGAGGGUGAUCAAACAGUCUCUCACCCUGUUCUUCUUCCCCCCUCUUCCAAGCCUGAACGCACUCACUAUCUUAAAAUCUUCCUUCUCCAAAUCUAGGUUCCAAAAGUCUGCAAAUUCCUGCAUAAGAAAGUCAAUCAGGUUGUCUUUCUCAAGUUCAGGUACAGCCCUGAUCCUCAAAUUCGUUUGUUUCUCCUUCAAUUCAGUCAUAGACAACAUCGACCUGUGGUCCUCAAGUUGCCUAUGUAUCGGUGGUAUCUUCUCUUCUACAGCAACUGCUUUUUCCUUUGCUUCUUCGGCUGUCUUUCGGGUCAAAGUAGAUUCCUGUAGCAGUUUCUCAAUAGUUUCUGUGUUAGUGUUCACCUUCUGUCCCAAAUUAUUAAUACUUGUAGUGUUUUGAUCAAUUUUAGUUGAUGCUUCAGCUACUUGUUUACUUAGUUUUUCCAAAGAUUCAUUAAUUUUGCCUAAUGCCAGAGCUAAAACAUCUUCAGAUGCCAUUCCUUUUGGUUUAAGUUGUACAGAUGUAGCCCCUGUUGGUGCAGAAGGGCCAGAUGCUGAUGCUCUUCACUGCAGCCAAGAUUUACCAGACCUCGUUGUUUUUUUCUUGAAACAAGUCUAUCUUUUCUUUUCCAUCUGCCAUAACACUCUAGUUAAAGCUCAAGGUCAAUUUGUUUUGAAGUGGAAAAUUCCCCUGGUCCAGUUGUUGUAACAAUUUCAAACUUCCUCUAGGGGGACACAGUAGCAGUCAAAGCUUGUUGCAUUAAAAAAUAACUCUUUUUAAUCCCCCAAUUCACAAAAUAGGCAACAAUUUCAAUUUCAGUUAGUUUCCAGUUACUUUAAAAUCAGGAGAAGCCAGCCAGAAACAAUGUAUCUCUCUUUCAGAGUUAGCUGUCAAAAGGUACUCUAUUCACCAACAGCGCAUUCACAAUAUGGCAUUCUUAUUGUCCAUUGGCAGUCCGUUCCCAGGUUUUAAGCGGUGGAUUUUUAUUUCCUUUCCUCUCUUUUUGCAGGAAAAUAUAGUUCACACCUUUCCCCCCUCCUCUCCUGCAACCAAGGGGGGAAUCGCUUGCUCUGAUGUUAGGAUUAUAGUCCUUUUCAAUCGACUUUCCAGGUUUUAGUUUACAACUUCUUUGCUUUACUCUAUUUACAAGAAACGGAAGGCGGACUUCCUGUUUAUGCCUCCCCGCUUCAGUGCCAAAUUAAAUCUUUAUUUUCCUUUAUUUCCAAGUUUAACCUACUCACGGGUAGUUGUUUUUGUAGCCAGAUUGUCACAGGAAAAAGUCAGCACUCUCCGGUAACGGCUGUGCGGCUUCGCUCCACGGAAGAAGCAGUUGACUCUCAGCACCACGCCGCUUGCCCCGCUUCGCUCCGGAGCCCGUAAUUGGGUUCCUUUACAAAUUGGGGGAGUGCGAAAGGUGCCCGCCGAGUCCCACGGUCACAGGCUUCACCCACCUGUGAUUUUUUAAAGGGUCCCCGCUUCGGCGUAGCGGAACAGACCCGAUUUCCGUAGAGCCAGUCCCUCCGGAUCAGAGGGAGUCCGCCAUUACCGAUGGCGCCACCCCGGAAGUCCACAUUCGUUUCUUCAACUCUCAGCUCAUCACUUCUGUGAAGCCGUUGGCUUAGUCUCAUCCAGAACAAUCUUGAAAGGUUCUGGGGUUUAUCAGAGAAGAAAAACCACUGCUGCAUCUGAAGCCCUGCCAGCUCCUAACAGUCCAGACAGACCCAAGUGGGCAGGUUUGCAUUUCCUGCUACUAUUCAGCAAAUGGAUUGGCAGAUGAUCCAGGGAUCUUCCCCUAAUAAGGCCCCGAAAUAGGACAUUUCAGGGCUAGGGCAAAGCAGGAUUGGUAUGGGAUCCAGCCUUUGUCUGCUUUGGUACACCCCUCUCCUAAAAUGCACUAUUUCAGGGACUUCUGCUGACAAGAUUCCUUCUGUUGAGUAUUUAGCAAUCAUCCCAUGCCUUUGGUAGGUACAGUGUGGGCUUCUGAGGUGGAAGAUCUCUCCCCUGGGUGGUGGAGCCUGGUGGUAGGAAAAAACCAGCAGUGUAGACUGGGUGUUAGGAUUGUGCCUUUAGUCCAGCUCAUUAACUCAAACAAAUGUGACGUACAUGCAGCUGCCUUCAUCUGUUGUCAACGUCCACUCACACUUUCCUAUUCUUCUGCAGUUUGUUUUCUCCUUGUUCCUUCCACUUCCUCCCUUAUUGUCUUUAACAACUCACUGUCUAAACUGAGAUUGUAAACUCAUCAGUGACACGCCUUUUGUUUAUGCUGCUCCAUAAAGUGCCAUUUACACUGAUGGUGGUAUAUAAAAAGUUAAGCAUCCCCAUUCUUCUCUACUGCCUCUUCUUCCAAUCCCACUAGGGGAAUUUAGUUCAUAGCUGUACGUAGUGUGUCCAGGCCUCUAGGAGCUGAAAUGGGAAGUGCGCCCUAGUCAAUCAUCUUCCUACUCCACCACAUUGGCAUCAGGUUGUUGACAUUUCUAAAGGGGCAGCUGGUAGCACAGCUGCAUUAAUACAGGCCACUGUGUCAGUCUGCCAUCCCAAUCAGAUCGCAUAAUCAGUGUAACACCACAAAACAUAAUGUUGCAGUGGAGUUUCAGCUAUUUUGUCUCUUCUCAAUGCAUUGGUUUGAGCUGCAGGAUCAAGUGUUCUGGAUUUAUUUGCAUUUCAUUUAAUAAUGAUUUAUAGCAGCAUGUGGCAGCCUUAGUGAUUCCUUUGUCCUUUUUUUCCCCCUUCCCUGAAAAAAAUAAAUGUCUAUUUCUUCUGUCAAUGCUUCAAAUUGCUAAGUGGUCUAAAAGGCAAAGAGCAUAUUUGAUUUUCAGUAAGGUAUUUUUCUUUCCCAUUCCCAUAGCAAAUUGCUAAUGACAAUUUCCAGAAAAUGUAUUCCUUACUCACUAACCUAUUGUUACUUGUGUCUUGAUCUUGUGCCUUUGUCAGACAGAAUUCAUCAAUAGCCAACAUUCUUAAAAGGAUGAUUGUAAUGGAUGAAUAUUGUAACUGCCCAGUGCUGUUUUGUAUUUAUUCUAUUUCAGAGAAACUGUCUGUACCAUCUUCUAGAACUCGUAUUAUGCCAACAAUCCAAUAUUCUUUAUGUCCGUAAGUCCAAUUGAAGAUACCAAUUCAUAUGCAUAUAACUUCGUUUGUUUGUGAGGGAUGGGAUUUCAUUUUACAUUACUAAAAAGCUAGGCAUGAUGUGGAAGAUUCGUGAUGAAGAACUCCUGCAGUGUCUUGAAGUUUUGUUUUAUUUUACUCAUCAAAAGAUCCACUUUGUGCCCUUCCUAUCUGCAUUCCCCCCCCCAUUCUUUCUCUCCCAUUAAUGAGAAAAUGAAUUGUCUUCUUAUGUGUAGGGUUAUGCUUACCUUACUUUUGAGGUGGCCAAGCGGUGUCUGUGAGUGUCUUUUAUUUCAUUAUGCAUAUCAUCUCACCUGUUGCCUGCACUCUGUAGCCUUCCUCAAGAAGAGUUUGGAUUUGAUAUUCCGCUUUAUCACUACCCAAAGGAGUCUCAAAGCGGCUAACAUUCUCCUUUCCUUUCUCCCCCACAACAAACACUCUGUGAGGUGAGUGGGGCUGAGAGACUUCAAAGAAGUGUGACUAGCCCAAGGUCACCCAGCAGCUGCAUGUGGAGGAGCGGAGAUGCGAACCCGGUUCACCAGAUUACGAGUCUCCCGCUCUUAACCACUACACCACACUGGCUCUCUCCUGGGUGCCCAUGCUUCAGUUAAAGCCUGGGGAAAUACAUCAGGAAGCAACUCCUCUUAGCAACGGCAGAGGAAGCUGCUCGGGCGCCUGGGGCGGCGCACCCAGGGGUGGGGCAAGCCGCCCAUAAGGAUGGGACGCACUGCGGGGCCUCCAGAGUCUGCCUGCCUCCUUCCACUCAGCCACCCUACAACUGGGGGGGAGGCAGUGGGCAGAUCGUUUGGGCAGCGCAGAGCCUGUACACGCCCAAGCCACCGUGUCUCUCCCAGUGAGUGCCGCCUGGCAUUUUGUCACCCCGUCAGUGGUGACACCCAGGGCAACCCGCCCCCACCACACCCCAUUUCUUCCGCCCCUGCCUCUUAUUGGACUUUUUCUGAUCAGGAAGUGUGUGAAGUCAGAGUAGCUCUACACAGAAAUGUUUACUGCAGGGAAAAAUACACCUACUUUUCUUGGCCACCUUCCAACAAUAAGAUAUCCUAAAAUUCCACCAAACUGCAAAAUAAAUUCUGUGGUGCUUGUUCCUCCUUCUCUUGUUUUGAUAUCAAAAGAAGCUUAAUAAAAAACCAUAUGGUAUUUUGAGAAGCAUUAAAUACAGAAGGAUCUAUUUAAUACAAUUCUUCAAAACAGCUGUAUGAUGCUGCUAAUUAUAGAAAAUGAAAGCUAACCAUAGCAGAGCCUGCUCACGGGUCUCCUGUGUUGAAUUGAUUCAUGUCUUUUGCGCCCAUCCCCAGAACAGUCAAGUGUUGAAAAGCAAAAGUUUUAUUUUUACGAAAUCACUUUUGCCAACACCUAUACGGAAGUGAAAAAUUAAUACUCAGAAAUUCAAUGUAAUCUAGCCACAAACACUUCUUUAUGUAGCAUGGGUCAUGAAGAGUCGGACACGACUAAAUGACUAAACAACAACAAAAUACCUUUAUGCACUGGCUCCCUGCAGUUGCUACUGAUACUUUAAGGGACCUUGUCAAUUUUACUUUCAGUUGGCAUGCAAACAUAAAUUGGGUGCAAAACUCAUCUGUUGUCUGGGCUAACAUGAUCAAAUUUUAGCACAGAGAAAUAUGCAGCAAUACAGCACAAAAGACAAUUAACACCUCAGUCCUAAGAUUCCAAGGAAAUGUGUUGAUAAUCUCAGUCUUGGACCAUGAAAGCGCAUUUAAGAUCUAUGUGUAUAUUGCAGAGCUUUUGUUGUUUUAGCCAAAAGAAUACCUUGAGCUAUAUCUGUCAGGCCGCUUUUGAAACUUAAUAGGGUUUUUUUUUUUUAAAAAAAAGAGUUUGCAAUGUUGUACAUGCAUGUAAAGGCUCAUCAGAUUAUGCCUUUUUAUACGUACAUUUUUUUUAUUGCAAAGAACCAAUAUGUGAAGGGACUCCAGUCACAAGGAGCACUUACAUGCAUCCAGCAGCUGACACAUGACUUUUACAGACACUGCAGCAAAUGCAUGGGCAUUGAGUGCUGCACCAGCAUGAGUGUGGGUUGUGGUUUGGCUCCCCACUGCCUCAUGUGUGCAUUGUACAUAUAGAUAACAUGAGAAAUGGACCACUGUGACUGAUAUGUGGACCACUGUUAGUAAAAAAAAAUGGUCUAUCUAUUUCUUUCCCUUUUAUUAACAAAUUGUCUUUCUGUUUCUUUCCCUUUUGUGUGGUGUCCUGAAUAUUUUAAUCCCUUGAAAUCAAAAUUGUUUCUCAAAAAAUAACAACAAAAUAUUAAGCAGGGGUAGGCAACCUAAGGCCCGGGGCCCGGAUGCGGCCCAUUCGCCUUCUCAAUCUGGCCUGCGGAUGGUCCGGCAAUCAGUGUGUUUUUACAUGAGAAGAAUGUGUCCUUUUAUUUAAAAUGUAUCUCUGGGUUAUUUGUGGGGCAUAGGAAUUCGUUCAUCCCCCUCCCAAAAAAAGUAGUCCGGCCCACCACAUGGUCUGAGGAACGGUGGACUGGCCCAUGGCAGAAAAAGGUUGCUGACCCCUGAUAUUAAGCUUUAAAUGCUGAAUUGUAAGAGCACUAGGAUGUUCUGAAGCUCUCUGUUGGCUAUGGCUAACAGGAGAACUGCUCUUUGUUGGCUGUCCACAAAAAAGUCAUUUUCUAUGCACCACCACAUGGGAAUAAUUUGUGCUCCAGAGUCCUGAGUGUACUUGUUCUAAGAUACAACAUAAAAAAAAUCCUAGGCUAGAAAUAAUUAAACCAAAACCAAAUACCUCAUAUUUCCUUUCUUAUCCACAGUCAUUCUUAUCCAUAUGCCUUCUAGUGAUAGCAUUGGUUUACAGGGCUGUUAAAAUCCAGCACAAAUUGGUAUUUCAAAAUGUAUCAUGUGGAACAUCAGUUUUGACCAAUCUAUUUAAAGUGUUAUAAAUCUAUACCUAACAUGGCAAAAGAUUUUGCUGUUUAGGUUGCCCUCUGUGUGGAUGAACACUUAUAAAACAAGAGAUGCAAAUUUAAUCAAUGGAUUUAAAACUUUACGCCACUUGAGGCCCUUGAUGAGCUUUUAAUCAGCCUAGCAAAGUGAAUGCAUCAUCCAAUUGUUUUUCAUCUCCCACCCUCUAAAUGAAAGACAAACAGAUAUUGAGGGGGGAAUUUAGGCACUAUUCACAUUUUUAUUUAUUUUAUUUCUCCUACUCUGUGCCUUUUGCUUUUUAGUAGCAUACUGUUUAAAAUAGGGGGAGGGAAUAUCCUUUCAAAGUCUUCUUUCAAAUUCAAGUAGUCAAGUGCUGUAUUGACACUUCUGAGUCAUGUCAAGAGACACCUUUUUGUACCCCUAGGUUAACGCAGUUGUACUGUCCAUGAAAGAGGCUUCUAUUUUUCUGACACAUUCUCAGGGCACUUCAGAAUUUAUUCAGAUUAUUGGUGGGUGCAGAGUUUAGCUUGCUUUAUUGUAAGCUGGCAAUAGGUUAAACUCCAUUCUAGCAUGCUGCAUUCUCCCUGGCUGCCUAUUCCUCCUGUCCUGGAAAAGCCCCAUCAGAUGAGUUACCUUAUAAUAUAUUAUAAUGUCUUUCCCUGAACUUUAAUUGACAGGUAGGAAGCCUGCAAAGCUGGUUACAGAAUGUCUGGAAAUAGUGUGCUCAAUGACGUUAUUUUUAAGGGAAGCCUUUCUCUUACCUUUUAUUAUCAAUAAUUGCUGAUUUCUUUAAAAGUACGAUGACCUAAAACAAUAGGUAACAAUGAACAGCUGUUAGGAGCACAUUAGGCUCUUCCCAUUUUUCUGUGCUUACAGGUAAAUCCAUUGGGGAUGUCAUGGAAUUUUCAGGAAAAGAGAGCACCCAGGAAGGCUGCAGGGUGCAGAAUGGGAAGAAAUGACACUCAUAAAACAUUGCUCAAUGACCUUAAAAGUAAGCUUCACAUAACAAAGUCUUGCACCACACCAAUAAUAAUUUCACUGUUUAAUCUCCCCUUUUCUAUUUCUUUUCUCAUUAAUUGAUGGAGAAUAGUUGGAAAAAACAUGUGGCAGAAAGUUUAGGCUCAGCAGCAGCUAGAACAGACUCUGUUGGCUAUAAGGACUGGUAGGGGCCACUGCAGAUUGAAGUCUGGAUUUAUUCUGGACUGUGGGUACUGAAAUAGAUGAGCAAUUGUGCCUGAUUGGGCCAUACUAAGGCUACAAUCCUAUGCACACUUACUUGGGAGGAAGCCUCACUGAACACAAUGAAGCUUAAUUCUAAGUAAGCAUACAUAGGCUUGCACUGUAAGCCUUUUUGAACCAUCUGAAGUGCAAAAGACUAAGACCCACUUGUCCUCCCCACAGCUUCCCCCCCCCAUACCUGUUUCUUCAGUAUAGGGACAACUUCCUCAUCUUCAGCUAACAGUGAUGGCAGCGAAGGAGAAGCUCUUUGAGCUUGGCACUGGAUAUCGUUAUUGUGCCCAGGCUUGUUAUCAUCUCGAAAGUGCUUCUCAACUCCUGCUGCUUCCAGUACCGGCUAGCAAAGAGCUUUAACUGAACGUUUUGUCUAAAAUUUAAGUUCUGGAUCUUGCAGUUUGACCCCCACUAUCCCCUUGACCUGCAAGUCUUCAGAUCUCAACAUUUCCAGGAUUGAAAAUUUCCAUACAGCCUAUGCAUGUUACUGAGUAGCAAGUCCCACUGUAUUUAUUGGGGUUUACUUGUAGGUAAGUGGGUGUAGGAUUCUGGCAAUAGUGAUACAUUUUUUAAAUAAAAAUGGGACAGGGAGCUUUUAGUAAUCCUUUUACACUAAUAAGGCUUUCUCUUGGGGGUGGGAUAUACUUAGAUCUCUUAUUGCUUAGACUGGAAAAAAUAGCAAUGAGAUGGAAAUUCUGCAUAGCAUUUCAAAUAAGCCACUUUAGCCUUCAAAUGUGCAUGUUGUUAAUUACAUUUUGUUUUUUGUUGUUUUUUUUUAAAAACUUAUUACCUUCCUAUUUGUUAUAGUAAUGUAUUCAUGAUCUUUUAAUGCUGACCCCAUGUUGAAUACCACAUACUUUUGCUUGAAUGUUCCAUUAACAUAAUUCAUUCUGUAGGCAGCACAUUUUCCUUUGUUAUAUUGAAGAUGCUCUGUUGAAACAUGAUGCUUUGCCAGUGUUCCAGUCCCCACACUGUUCUUAAUUAUUGUACAAUAUUGUUUGAGUAUUUGAACACUAUCCAGACCCAGUGACCUGUGUAAUUCAUUCCAUGGAUAUGCUGGAAACUAAAGUGUCAGCUAUUUAUUUCCUUUCAUUGCUUGUAUAUGAAGUAUUGGUUAUCCUUUGGCCUUAGUUCCCUGAAGUACUUCCCAUCUGUCAGGUGUUUCUGUAGUUACAUUUGUUUCUUCUUUACAUCCAUUUUAAAAAGCAGGCAUAAACCCAGUCUUUCUGAUACAUAAAUAAAAAAGGAGAAGUGGCGGCAAUUCAAGUUGGCAACUACACUCUAGUAUUCUUUCAGUGCAAUUCUAUGCUUAUCUGCUCCAAAAUAAGUUUCAUUAAGUUCAAAGGAAUUACUCCCAGGUGUGUGUAGGAUUGAAUGUAGUGAGUAGUUUUUCCCAUUUUGACUGUGUACUGCACUCAAUCUUGAAAAUAUAUAUCAAACAGCAGGCAAAUCGGUCAUAUCUAACUUCACUGUAUUUUGGGCUGAUUGCAAAAAUUGAAUUGCACAGAAGCCAGAUACAUAUCAUUGAUGGGUGUAUCAAACAUUUUCUCCAUAGUUCCCCUCCCAUCUUCAUUUUGUCAAUAGUAAAUAAUGAAGAUAAUAAAUUAAGCCAUCAUAAGAUCAUUUGAGUUUCCCACAUAGUUUAUUAUUAUUUAUUUAGAUAAAAUUGUCUGCUUCUGUUUGUGGCCAGUGCUCUUCAUCCUGUGGUACACAUAACUGCCUGGCAUUCUGUGAGUUACUAUUGGCUGAAAAGCACCAUUUGGUACAUGUGUUUGCUGCAGUUAAUAAAUGGUGGGCCAGUCAAUCAGUGAAUAACAAGCUGAUAUAAAGGGAACCGAUGAUACUAGCACCUGGCUUGCAGAACUUGAAGGUCUGACAGUGUGAAUUGAAUAUUAUGUGAAGACCGGUUUCACAUGUGCUUUCUUAAGCACAUUUAGGAGGUAAAAAGAAGAAGCAAUUCAUAAGAAAUCAAAAUAAAUCAUGGUAGCCUUGUUGAGAAUCUUAAUAUAUCUCUGCACUGAUUAUGAAGCUCUUGUCCAAAGCUAUACUCCCAAACCAUUAAGUACACAAGACAGCUAUGAAAUACCAUCUCAUCCUUUGUGUUUUAUUGUAUCGCAAAUGUGAGUCAUUGAUUUUACAGCUACUUUGCACUGAAUUGUUUAUGUUCCCAGUCAAGCCUGUAAGCACUCCAUUUACAUGCCUGAGGAGCUGGUUAAGAACAGAAGUGUUGCCAUAGAGACAACUGAGUGGUGAUAUUCUUUCAGGAGGGCUAAGACUCCCCUCACCUCCCCUGGCAGAAUGUUGCAUCAUCCUAGGGAUAAGAGGACAACAGACCAAGGACUGGUCUCUGUUUUAAGUCUGGUCUGAAGUUGGGAGCUUGCUCUCUGUGAGGAAUCCGAAGCUGUGACUUUGGGGACCUUACUUGAAAUUUAAUGGACAAGCAAGAUCUGUUGGUCAGACUCACAGCAUUAACACUCCAUCUUAUGCUUAGGUUGUAUAUAUGUGUAAAUAAAACCAUAUGUACUAAAGACACUAGAAUGUCUUAUGACCUUCUUUCCAAGGAAACUGAACCCUGGAUAAGUGCUGGCACCCCUAGAGUCUCUCACCACUCAGAUACUGAGAUGCAUCACAGCCUCCAUUCUGAUAAAUGGUGAUGAAGUAACUAGAGCUAGCCCGCAUAUGAGGCAAGGUGAGACAACUGCCUUGGGUGCCAGGAUCCACAGAGGUAGCAGAUCCAGACUCGAAGGAAUGCAUCUGGUAUGAACAUGUAUGAGAUUGAGGGCAAUUCACUCACUACCUGAAGCCAAUUGUGAGCCAAAGGUGAGCCAAACCACAGAUUGGUGAGCUUGAUGUUAAUACCAGGAAAGGUCUUAGAACAGUUAAUAAAACAUCCACUCUGUGAACACUUAGAAAAGGAUGCUGUAAUUACUAAGACCCAGUAUGGCUUACUCAAAAACUAGUCAUACCAGAUGAAUCUUAUUUUUUAUUUUGAUGCAGGCUUAUUGGAUCGCUUGGCGGAUUAGGAGAAUGCUGUGGAUGUAGUGUUCUUGAUUUCAGCAAGCCUUUUGACAAAGUAUCUCAGGAACUUCUUGCAGAGAAGCUGGUAAAAUGGGGGCUAGAUGAGGUAACUGUUAGAUGGAUUUGUGGCUGGUUGAUUGACUGAACUCAAAGAGUGCUAACUAAUGGUUCCUUGUCAUCCUGGAAAAAAGUGACAAGCGGGGUGCCUUGGGGUUCUGUCCUGGACAAGUUGUUCUUCAAGGGCUUUAUGAAUGACUUGGUUGAAGGAAUUGAGUGGAUGCACAUCCAAGUUGCAAAGUGGGAGGGGGGCUAAUGCCACAGAAGACGGAAUCAGGAUUCAAUAUGACCUGCAAACUGCUAGCUUGAAAACAUCACAUGAUGGGAAUGUUGGAGCUGACUGUGGGAAACAGCCUUCCAGCCAGCUCACAGGGCAGUUCACCGGAAAUUGCACAGAGUGUAAUUUGAGCUGUUCCUCUUGCUCUUGUACAGGAAGUACAGGAAGUCUUUGUCACUUGACUGCUGGAGUUUGAAGAGUGCAGUCAUGUUUUCUGUAAUGCUGCAAAGACAGAAAUAAAAGCAUGUAAAUACGUUUCUGUCUAUCUCCUUUUCCCUGCCGGGGGAGCAGGAGGGAGGGGGUGUGUUCUUCCCACGUUUGGGAAGAAUCGCCUAUCGUGACCUAGCCUGGAUCUUGCUGGGGAAUGCAGCCAGGAAGGUCAACAGGGGACCAAGCUAGGUGCCUGGGAGAGUUGCCAGUUUCUCCCGAUAAAGGCUUGAUUUCCGACACUUAACAGAUUUGAGAACUGGGCCCAAUGAAGAAAAUGAAUGUCAAUAGGGACAAAUGUAAGGUUCUGCACUGACAGCAAUAAUGAGCUGUACAAAUAUAAGAUGGGGGAUAUCUGGCUUGUUAGUAGAACAUGUGAAAAGUAUAUAGGGGUCUUAGUAGACCACAAGCUUAACAUGGGGAGGAUUCUAUGGUUGACCUCAGGUGCUAAAAUGUCUUGGGCUAACUCUGGACAUAGCCACUCCUAAAAUUAUGGCAAUGUUUUCAGGUAUUUCAUGGAGAAAUGUAUUUAGCCUAGAAGUUAUACAAAUAUCUAUAUUCAUGCAGGAAAACUAAUGAUAAAAAUAAUUUUAAACUGCUGGAAAUUGCAUGCACACACACACACACACACACACACAGACAGACAGACAUUUUUGUAAUGUAGCAACAUAAAAAUACUCACAUUUUGCUCCUCACUGAAUAUUUAAUUUGCCACAACAUGCCAGCAUAGCCUAAGACCCUUUUAUCAAUCAAUGUAAUUGCCUGAAACAAUCAGGAUCCCAUGUUACCUCACUCCACAUGUUAUAAAUUAGUUUAUAAUGGAUCAAAUUACUUGAUGAGAGAUUGACAGUAUAUGGUUAUGUGUUCAAAGAAAUGAUAGACUGUCCGAAGAGAGAUGUUCAAAUCCAAAUCUAUAGCCACUGUAAUCCCAAGUUAUUAUUCUUAUAGAAAGAAAAAUGUUUUUUUCUGAAAAUAAUUUUCUCCAUCAUAUUAAAUGAGAAUAUGGAUUUGCGACAAAAUCCUUACUGCAGAGAAGGACAGACGUGAAGGGGGGGCAUCACUAUUUAUGCAAGAAUUGUUCAAAUUGUACCAAAGAGAGUCUGAAUAUCUUUUCAGUCUCAAAUUAAAUAUUCUAUUAUAUGCUCUGCUUCCUUGUUCAUUGUCUAAUUUACCGAUGUGUUUUAAGUCAGGGAAGAUCUCUAUCUUUGCUUCAGUUGACUGGCACCCCUAGUUUUGAUUAUUUGUAUUGCUGAGCUGUUGUGUGGGGAAUGUAGUGGAUUUCUGUCGUAGGUAAAUGUAUGGGCUGCAUCAAUAGGAGUACAGCAUCUAGAUCAAGGGAAGUAAUAGUGCCACUGUAUUCUGCUCUGGUCAGACCUCACCUGGAGUACUGUGUCCAGUUCUGGGCACCACAGUUCAAGAAAGACACUGACAAACUGGAACGUGUCCAGAGGAGGGCAACCAAAAUGGUCAAAGGCCUGGAAACGAUGCCUUAUGAGGAACGGCUAAGGGAGCUGGGCAUGUUUAGCCUGGAGAAGAGGAGGUUAAGGGGUGAUAUGAUAGCCAUGUUCAAAUAUAUAAAAGGAUGUCACAUAGAGGAGGGAGAAAGGUUGUUUUCUGCUGCUCCAGAGAAGCGGACAUGGAGCAAUGGAUCCAAACUACAAGAAAGAAGAUUCCACCUAAACAUUAGGAAGAACUUCCUGACAGUAAGAGCUGUUUGACAGUGGAAUUUGCUGCCAAGGAGUGUGGUGGAGUCUCCUUCUUUGGAGGUCUUUAAGCAGAGGCUUGACAACCAUAUGUCAGGAGUGCUCUGAUGGUGUUUCCUGCUUGGCAGGGGGUUGGACUCGAUGGCCCUUGUGGUCUCUUCAAACUCUAUGAUUCUAUGAUUCUAUGAAUUGUUGACUUGUUUAGAUGAAACUUAUUUGUUUCUCAGUAGGUAGACUCUGUUGUGGUUCAUGUCAUUUCACAUAUUGCCAACAACCCUCAUGUUCACUGCAAUUAACAAUUCAGGUGGUUUUUAAUUGUUGUUCAGUUCUUUAAUUAUUUAUUUAUGCAUUUUACCUACCUUAGUACAUCAGUUAUACAAUUGUCAUCGUUUAUCUUACACUCUUUGACUUCCACACUCAUGGGACCUUAUUUUGUCCUUGUUAAGCUGCAUCUCCGUAAUUACCACCCCACUUCUGCUUAUUUUAACUGCUGCUCAUAUAUCUAACCACAGUUGGAAGUUUAUCUGAUCGUUAUAUUUCUUUAAAUAUUCACCAAAGUAUUCCCACUCUUCUCUUAUAUCAGACUCAUCUUGAUUUCUUAUCUUUGCAAUCAACAUUGCUAGCUCUGCUUAUUCUAGUAGCUUAUUCUGCCAGUCUAUAUUUGUCCUUCCACCAUUCUGGCUGCUGGUAUUUCCCCCUCUGCUGUACUCAGUAAGAACAUCUCUGGUUUCCUGGGAAAUGAGACCCUUAACAUCUUUUUUAAUUCUGAGUAUAUCAUCUCCCAAUACUCUUUGGCUUUCUUGCAACCCCACCACAUGUGUAUAAAUGUCCCUUCAAUCUCUUCACAUUUCCAACAUAAAUUGGUUCCCUUUUUAUACAUUUUUACAAGUUUUCUAGGGUCAAGUACUAUCUAUAUAUCAUCUUUUGUAGAUUCUCUUUUAGAGCAUAGCAUGCCAAGAAAUGUAUUGUUGUUUUCCACAACUUCUCCCAAGAGGCCAUAUCUAUGUUGUGUCCUAGGUCAACUGCCCAUUGAAUCAUAGAGGCCUUUGUCGUUUAUUUUUAAAAAUAACAAUCUCAGCCCAAUCUCAAACAUAUUUACUCUGAAUAAAAUAGUGGUCCUUACUCUGGAAUGUGUUCAAUAUCAGUGAAUGUGCCUUAAAUUCAUGGGCAUCAUAGCCACGGUUGAUUGCUGGAGAUGCAAUUUGCCACAAGCAACCAUACAGAAAUAGAAAUUUAUCCAAACAAUAUCAGAGGCAUCAGAAAUAAGUGUGCUUUAAGGUUGUUGUUUGUUAAAAAAUAAAAUAAGGGGAGGGAGGAGAGCUGGGAGUGGGGAAAUAAGGAAAAAUACUGUUUUAUUGUAGUAAUGUGAAAACUCUAAUAAACUAUAGAUUUUUUUAAAGUAUACUGUGUAGUUCAGUACUAUAAAACUAUAUAUAAAGGGGAUGUAGAAUUAUAUUACAAAGAACCAAGAAAAAGUUUUCAUCAAAGCUUAGCUUUGGAUCUUUAAUCAGAAAGGAGUGAUAGCUACUGAGUUGCAUUUUUUUGCUUACCAAGCUAAAUCUAGCCUUACCAGCAGCCGUUACCCCUUAGUAUUUUCAUCCACCUCAUUGACAAGAAACAUGGUGUAACUCAUUUGAUCUAUCAGUAAUGGAGAAACAGCUUGAAAGACAUUCCUUCAUUCCUGUCAGAAUGAAUCAACCUUGUAAUAUCUCAGAAGAUAAGCCCAUCGAUUCAUGACUAUAAUAAAUAUGCCAAUUUCUAUUGUUUUCUGUUAGCUAUGAAUGCAUUGAUUGUUUAAGCUCCAGUGGUAAUCUCAAUCCCAAAUAAUGUCCAAGAGAUAUUUUCAGUGCUUUAUUUAUUUCUCCAACUGCUUUGCAUCUCAUUUUCCUACUCCCCCUCCCUCUAAUGAAUCAUUUUACUACUUCUAGCAUAAACAUGGAAAAGAGGAGAAAUCUCUUGAUUCCUUUCAGUAGUUUCAAUUGCUGUGUGCCAUUUAUGGCAACAUCUGCUUAGAUUAGACUUCACUCCCCCCUCCCCAUUCAUCCCCUGUCAUAAUAAAAUAUUGACAGAAACAAUUUCUACAGGGAAAAUGGAAAGUUAAUAGAUAAGAUGAAGCUCUACAUGGUUUUUCAUUAAAGUUCUGGUGUACUCCCACAACUUCUCUUGUAUUUAUUUAGAUGAUAAUUUUUCAAGUAUGAAACUGAACUCUAUAGUCUUCUACCCACACUACCCAAUUCAAAGGGUUCUAACUUCCCUAGCACUGAACCACCUCUUCACAUGUUAGCACCAGUUAUCCAGGAGCAUUCACUAAUGUGGCUGCAUGUUUUAUGGUCUUCCUGUGGGGUUUUAAAGCUGAGAGUUUACUAGCAGUGAGAGACUUCCCUACCUUAAGUAUCAGCUUGGCUAUAUAUGAACUAAAUCCUACAUUCUUGAACUUUGGAGCAGGUCUCCUGAGGGAAAAGGAUGAAGGAAACCUGAACAUGUGAGGGAAAUAUUGUGUAUAUAUCUGUUUGUGUUUUAUACUUUGAAAUGGACUUCUGUGACUUUUGGUGAUGCCAGAGUGUAACUUUCAGAGUCCAAGGCCUUGUGUUGCUACUGUGCUGCCAGACUUUUUAGCAUUAGCUGAUUGGUCACAGGUUCUAAAAGAGAGAGGGGAAAGCCUCUCACGUUACAAUUUAUAGGCAGGGCCUGGAUCAGGAAAAUGCAUUCUGAUUGGUCUGGUAAAAAAUGGACCCUAACUGUUUGGAGAUUCUAGCCAGUGAAGAAUGGACAGUUAACAGUCAGCCUGGACUUCAUUGGCCACUGUGAAGAGAGGGGUCUUCCAAGGCUCAGGAGGCACCUGUAGCCAACAACAUAGACCAUGGGGAAGCGCUUGGACAGGACUUGCUCUCAGCCUAACUAUAUGCCCAAGUACAGAGCUUUAUCAUAGGCAGAAUGCUCACGCAUGAGUAGACUAGCCCGAGGAGUAGCACAGAGAGCCAGGCUAGUUCCUUUGGUGGAGAAUACAGACAGAUUGAUACUUCUGCAAAGUAAUGCAUGUUUGGGUGUAAAAUCUUAAUUUCACAUAUACAUUCAUGGCUUCUGAACUGUUGAUGACAAACCAGGAAUGAGACUUUGGAGUCAUAGUAGAUAGCUUAGUGGAGAUGUCAACCCAGUGUGCAGCGGGUAUGAAAGUGGCAAAAUUUAUGUUAGGGAUCAUUAGGAAAGGCAUUGAAAAUAAAAUGGUACAGUUCUGGUUACCUCACCACAAAAUGGAUAUUUAGAGUUGGGAAAGGUUACGAAAAAGGGCAACCAAAAUGAUCAAGGGGAUGGAGCAACUCCCCUAUGUAGAAAGGUUGCAGUGUUGUGAACUUUUUAGUUUAGAGAAAAGGUGAAACGAUAGACGUUUAUACAAUUAUGCAUGGCUUGAAGAAAGUGGGUGAAGAAAAGUGGUUUUCCUUCUCUCAUAACACUAGACCUCAUGGACAUCUGAUGAAGCUGAAGGUUGGAAGAUUCAAGAGAGAGAUAAAAGAAAGUACUACUUCAGGCAGCACAUAGUUAAACUAUGGUAAUCACUCCUGCAAGGGACGCGGGUGGCACUAUGGGUUAAGCCACAGAGCCUAGGACUUGCCGAUUGGAAGGUCAGCGGUUCGAAUCCUUUCGAUGGGGUGAGCUCCCAUUGUUUGGUCCCAGCUCCUGCCAACCUAGCAGUCAAAGUGCAAGUAGAUAAAUAAGUAUGGCUCCGGCGGGAACGUAAACGGCGUUUCCGUGCGCUGCUCUGGUUCACCAGAAGCGGCUUAGUCAUGCUGGCCACAUGACCCGGAAGCUGUACGCCGGCUCCCUCGGCCAAUAAAGCGAGAUGAGCCCCAGAGUUGUCUGGACCUAAUGGUCAGGGGUCCCUUUACCUUUACCCUUUACCUUUACCUUUUAUUCACUCCUGCAGGAGGCAGUGGAUGGCCACCAACUCUUUAGAAGUGGAUUAUACAAAUGCACAGAGGAUAAGGCUAUCAGUGGCUACUAGCCAUGAUGACUGUGCUCUGCCUCCAUGGGCAGUAUUAUUUUGCUGCUAUAAAACAAAGGAGAGGUGAGUGCUCUUGUACUCCAAACCUGUUUGAUGGUUUCCCACAGGCAUCUGGUCAGCCACUGUGAUAACAUGAUGCUGAACUAGAUGAGCCAUUGCCCUGAUCCAGCAAGCUCUUCUUAUGUUCUCUGCCCUCCAGUAUUCUUUGAUUUGGGGUAAAUGACUUGUUCAUUGACAGAAAAACUCCAAGGUGUCAGAGAGUCUAUUUGACAUCCAGCAAUGGCUGCAUCCACUCAAGACAGUCAUAACUAAGCAAAUGAGCUGUGAGGAUUUUUCCUUGAAUUUUGAGUCUGGGUAUAAAAGUGUGGGCAUGGGGAGCUGUUCUUAUUAUAGUUAGUUGGUGGGAUAUUAAUGGACCUAUUGACAAACUUUAUGCUCACCUUUCUUUUAUAUAUUUUAAAUGAUUUUUUUAAAAAACUUGUUGACCUGUUAGUGCUGUAGUGAUAUUGUAUUUUUUAUUCCAGAUUUUGUACUUACAUCUGUUUUGCUUUUUUUCUUUCUUUCUUGGUGAAUCAUUGUGGGAAAUGUGGUAAAUAAAUAAACUUUGAUCAUAAUUAAAGUAAAAAGAUGUAGUCCAGAGUUACAGAAUUUGGAGAGCUCCAACUGAGCAAUUUACCUGGACAAGGUCUAGAGCCCAAAUUAAGCCUUUUCUGUCUUCCUUCAACACAAAAUGUCUUUCUCAGGUUUCACCUCUUUACUGGAGAGUGGUGGAUUUAGAAGGGUGUGUUUCUGGCCUGGAGCUUUUGUGUCUUUUCAAUUAUCACCAUACAGUGGAACCAUGGGUUACGUACCAUCCUCCUUACAAACGCUUCAGGUAACGAGCUCCCCUAACCCGAAAGUAGAUGUCCCAGUUGUGAACUUUGCCCCAGGAUGUUGGUGGCGCGGUGGCAGCGAGAGGCCCCAUUAGCGAAAGCACGCCUCAGGUUAAGAACAGUUUCAGGUUAAGAACGGACCUCCAGAACAAAUUAAGUUCGUAACCAGAGGUACCACUGUAUUUUUUAUGUCUACACUGGUGAUACAGCAGUGGAAUUUUACUCCAGACUGAAUGUCCACCUCUUUUUUGUAGCCACAAAAUGUGAACCUUAGUACCAGGGCCUGAUUGUGUUCUUGAGCACACAGUUUGAAAAGUGGAGUUCCAACAAGUUAUUUAGUUAUGCUAUUAAAUUACCCUAGAAUUUCAACAGGAAAUGACAACUUUAACAAUAUGAACUGUCUGCCAUCAUCUCACUUCAUUGCUAUUUUUUGUCAUAAAAUAAAUUAAUUUUGUAUUUUUUCUGUUCUCAUUACCUUGGCUGUCAAUGAGGAAGCUAUGAAAGUUCUAAUAACACCUGAUGUACUUUGAUAAUUAUUGUUCUGUGCUCCACAACUUUUGACAUUUUCAAUUUUGCUCUUGAUCUGUUGAAUGGUUUUCUCUUUUCUAUAUGAUUUUAACGCAUGUAAAUAUGAAAUCAGCUCCUUGGCUUAUAUAAAAAGGGCCAUUUUCUCAUUAGUCUCCUCCCAAGCAAAACUAGGGCAUAUGAAAAAGGCAACAGAAAAAUCAACAUAUUGGCUACAGCAAAUGUUUUCGCAAGCUUCAUUGUUACUUGUUAUCAUACCAACUUUAAUCAUAAAAUUAGGCUGAUAUCAAACACGAAGGGUGGUAUUCCACACUAGUCCUACUCAGGGUAGACCCAUUAGAGUUAAUGGACAUGACUAACCUAGGUUCAUUAGUUUCAUUUUUUUAAAAUAAUAUUUAUUAAAAGUUUAAAGAUUACAGAAAAAGAAAAGAAAAGAAAAAUAAAAACAAUACAAAUCAAUACGUUGCUAUACAUAAAAAACAAAAAACAAAAAACACAAUACAUCAAAACAAAAGCAAAAGCAAAAACAAUUAAAAACACAUCCAAUAUUUCCAUAUCUUUGUUUUUCAUUAACUUGUUUCAUCGACCCACCUCCCUUUUUUGUAUUCUAAUUAUUAAUUAUUUCAGCAAAUCCUUUCCAGCUUUCACUAUUUUCUGUCAUAUAAUUGUCAUAGUUUAUUUUAACCUUAUCUUACCAUUAAUACCCUGAAACUUAUUUGUACUUAACUCCUUAUAACAUUUCUACUAAAGCCGUGUAAUUUCAUUCCAACAUUUUUCUAACACUCAUUAAUUUUAACAAUGUUUCUAUAAAUAAAUUUUAAACUUUUUUCCAAUCUUCUUCCACCGUCUCUUCUCCUUGGUCUCGGAUUCUGCCAGUCCUUUCUAUCAAUUCCAUAUGGUCCAUCAACCUGGUGAUCUUCUGUCCGAGGCUCUUAACUCUUUUCCAUGUCCCUUCUGCAGAUCUUCUUCAUAUUUAUACAUGCACUUUACUUUAUCUUCUGCUGAUCUUAUUCUUAAUUUCCUUCCUUUGACACUGAGGAGUAGAUCUCGGAGAAGCUCCAACCUAACAAUGUCUUUAUUCCUUCUCGUCAGGUCAGUCCAUUCUCCAUAGUCAAAACUAGAGUCCAAAAGAUAUUUCAGGACGUGUUUCAACUGGCUUUCUCUAAAUUCAAUAGUAGAAGGCAACAGCUUAUAUUCAUCAAAUUUUCUCUGUAAGACUGGGGUUCUCUGCACUUGUAUUACUUGAGGUUCUACAACAACUUUCUCCCUCAUCUUCUCCACAACUUGCCAUGUCAAAGUAGAUUCCUGAAUCGAUUCCUGAGUAGUUUCUGUAUGGAUAUUCACUUCUUGUCCCAAAUCAGUCAUUUUUUGUCCCAAAUUGUCAAAUUUAAUAGUCAUCACACCCAUCUUCUCAUGAAGCUGUUCCAAUAAAGCACUUAUCUUACAAAAUGCAAUCACUAAGGCUUCUUCUGUCGACAUUCUUGUCCAAGGUCAAUCUCAAAUUCUCACGGUCCUUUAUCUCUGCAGCUGGAAAAUUCCCCAGGUCCACUCCUGCAACAGUUUCAAAAGCUCCCUCUAGAGGAAACAAUUUCUAUUUGUAUCCGUCCUUUUAAACGCAGAUCCAGCAACAAAGUUAGUUUCAAUCUUUCAAUUACUUUUGCUCCUUUUUGAGUGCAAAAGGAAACAAUGGAAACAUUAUAUUUCUCUUAUUUAACUAUCUGUCAACGUACAUUUUGUUCACAGUCAAUGAACUUUCCCAAAACGUCAAUCUUAGUGACAGCCCGUUCCCAGGAUCAAAACGGUGGUAAUUUGUCUUUCUUCACUCUCUCUCCUGCAGGCUUAGGCAAUCUAAAAUUCCCCCCUCUUCUCCUGCUUCCAAGGGGGGGGGUUGAUAAUUUUGACUGAUGGAAAUUUAGUCCUUUACAAAAGGCUCUCCAAGACUUUAGCUUGCAGCGUCUUUGCUCAAUCUGUUUACAAAAGAGGAAGGCGGACUUCCUGUUUGAAACCUUCCCGUUUCGGUGCCGAAUUAAGAUGUUUAAAGAUUCAAUUUUCCGUUCUACUCACGGGUAGUUGUUUAAAGUCCAAUUGUCCACAGGAAAAAAUCAGCGCUCUCCGGCAACAGCAAUGCGGCUUCACUCCGUGAAGGAAGCAGUCGAUUCGAUGCACCGCUCCGCUCACCCCACGUCGCUCCGGAAUCCCCGAAACCGGGGAUUUCCCCGCGAGUAGGGGAGGCGCAAAAGGUGCCAGCCAAAUCCCACGUCCACAGGCUUCUCCCGCCUGUGGUUUUUAGUGGGUCUCCGCCUUCGCCGUGGCGGCCAGACCCUGAUUUCCCGAUCAGAGGAAUUCCGCCAUUGCCGGAGGCGCUAACCCGGAAGUCUCCCUAGGUUCAUUAGUUUCAGAGGGUCUUCUCUAAGUAAAAGUUAUUUCAAUGCCAUCCUCCAUUUGUAUCAUGUUCAGUACAGAAAUCAAAUAUUAUGUUUACACACAUGUACAAUUCUGUACCUGCAUCUUUAAAAUAGCCAGUGGCAGAUGUAAAUGUAUGAUCUUGUUGAGAUUCCUGCAUUGCAGGGGGUUGGAUUUAGAUGGCCAUCAGGUCCCUUCCAACUCUACAAUUUUAUGACUCUAUGCCUAGGCUUCCAAUUUCAAGUAUUAUAAUUGAACUCAUAGUUAAUAAAGUGCACAUGUGUUCCUAGUUGUACAAAUCCUCCAUAACAUGCUGAGGUUGGGUGCCUUCAAGGAAUUUUUGGAUUCUACAAGGUAGGCAUGAAUCAAGGCAGAAAGCCCUUGAAGUGCUGUGUCUUCCUCAGGAAUCCAGACACUAAAUGAAAAGAUGAAAUCAAGUGUCCUCAAAAAAUUAAUGUCAGGAUGUGAGAAGAUGGAGUAGCUGUGUAAAAUCAAAAUUUACAUCCCAUCCCUAGGAAAAUGUCAGGAGUUAGGAGAAACUCCUUCAUGACUGACAGGUCUCCUUUGCAAUCAAAGGGGGUUAUUUUAUCAGUGCACUCCAAUCCCAGUGCUUUGGAGGAGGAAGCAGUAUGGUGGGAGAGCUGUGCUAUGAUUGACAGGCCAUGACUGUGAGUGCAUAGCCCAAAAUGCUCUGGACCUGCAAUCUGGCAAUAACACCUCGGCCAUGUCUGCAGUUUUCAUAUCAAUUGGUCAUGCAACACCAACGAAAGAUAAUUAUUAUUUUUUUAACUAUCCCCAAAUGUUGACAGUCUUCUUGCAGGAAAACUACUGCAGCUAUUCUUCUGAAAUUUGCCAGGAUUCUUUCCCCCCAAAAAAAGAAUAAACUUGCCUACAAAUUUCUUCCAAUAUUUCUCAAACAGUUUAAAAAUUGUAAAUAUUAAUUUUAUAAACUACAUAUCAAAAUUUAGAUGUAUCAAACACAAAAAACCCUGAGGCUGCUGCCUGCAAUCCAGCAGGCUUUAUCUAUUCUGGGGCAGCUACAGUUCCUAAAAAAAAUCAAUCUACUUCUGCCAAAAGGGUGGGUUAUAUAGUUUUUUUUAAUAAAAAAGAAUAUUAACAGUGAAAUUGAAGGAGGAAAGCAACAUGGACUUGGACUGAUGAGUUGAACUGGGCAACCUAUGAAGCAUCUCAGAUCGAGACAGUCUGUUUUACAAUACAAUGAAUCCAGAUCUAAACAAAAUCUGCUCCUGAGUGCAACUCCUAGUGUUAAGCUCUUCUGUCAUAAUUGAAGAAUUAUUAUAUUACACUGACUUUUUAAAAUGAAAACCCUACAUCACAUACUUUAUUUUAUGCUGAACCAAUAUUGCAUUUUUCAUUUCUAAAUACUUAAGGUAAAUUAAAAAACCUUCAUGAAUCAAUGAGACGAAGCAAGAGUAACUUGUGAAGGGCUAAUGUCAUAAUUUGCCUUCGUCUAGUAGAGUAUGGAUGCACUGUAUGGCACCAGAAAGAUAAAUUCCCAGAUUGUCCCUUAAUUCUCUGUUCUGCUCCCCUUGCCGGUACAAAUCAGCAGACAGUGUGUCUGCUCCUUUGUAAACAGUAUAAAUUCCCUGUUGCUUAGUGAAUCAUUAGGUCAUGGAGUACAUAUCCACAAGGUUGUAUGAGUAACAUGAUUGGCUAUCUGGAGCACUCAAUAAGUUGUUUUGUUUUUUUUAGUCUUGUUUUUAUUUUUUAUAAAAAAACAAAUCAAUUAUCUUUAUUUUAAAGCCCUAUUGUAUCUGAGACAGCCAUUACUGUAACUUUUCAACUGCCAAGGCACAUCAAAUAUAUCAUUUAAAAUUCUAAUGGCUGCCAAAUACCUUGGCAGAGAUCCAGAAUCUCUCGACAUACUUAACUAUUUUACAGGAGCCAGGGGGAUGGGGAAUGGUUAAAAUAAACCUAUUAAAAACACAGAUUGCUUUCAAAAAAUGUUGAGCCUAUUCCCCCCCCACACACACUUUUCGUUAUCACAGCUCAGUUUUUUUAUUGAUGUGGUGGUUUUUCUUACAUGGAUUACAAUGGUUUUUUGGCUGCCAUUUCAAAAUUCCAAAUGCAGCCUUAUACACUAUGAUAUACAGGAGAAAUAGCUUUUUUCAUACUUCAACUUAGGAUGGGCAGAAUUCACACUAAGAAUCCCCCUCUCCUUGUGCUGCUGUCUCGAUGAAAAUCACUUCCCCACACCCAUUAUUUAUUUUAAAUCCCUGAUAUGCAACCUAGUGAUGCAUUUAGCAUCCCAUCUAGUGUGACCCUUGUUUUCAAAUGUUGCAAGUAUCUCUGCUUUCCCAUAAUUAUCAUAUCACAUGAGGAUGUUGGCACAGACUUACUUCACUAACUUGAUAAGCAUCUAGUAGGACUCUUUGCAAACAUCCUGGAAUAGCAUCUGUCAGUUCAGUGGCAGCUCAGAUCAUGUUCUGGCAUGCAGCAAGCUGGGCCUUUAGUAAUUUUAUGUGCAGUCAAGAACAAUUAGGUGCAACUGUGAGAUUUGCCAGUGCCUUCAAUUCAACUGGUAAAUAAAAGAGCUAUUUAAAAGAUGGCUCUGAAUAUAAAAUUCUUUCUUAAAUUUGGUUAAGUGGCCAUUAUAAUAGCCAACCCAAGUAAAUAUUUCCUUUUUGUAAGUUUUUCUAGCAAGGGUUAACAGCAUCAGGGGACAUGGUGAACUUUAUACGCCCCGUAAUAGGCUGAAAAAAAUUGAUAUAUAUGUAGAAAUCAACCAAGUAUGAAAAGUGUGUAAGAAAGAAAAAUGAAACGUAGGAGGUUGAGCCACAGCCCUAUGUUUACCACCUGGUAACAUGGAGGCAGUCUUGUUCACUGGUGGCACUAGUGUUGUGAAGCGUUUUCUUUGCUUGCAUCUGUUUAGAUGAGCAUUCUCCUCAUCUCUUGUUUUUAUUCUUUUAACCGCUGCUUUAAUGGCCUUGUUUAUUGCACAUUUUAAUUAUGUGUGUUUAUUCCAAUGUUUUGUUGGAACUGUUUUAUAGUGUAUUUGAAUUAUGUGCAGCCCUUAUUUUAAAGUGGUUUUAUACUUGCAAACCACCUAUUAGCAAUUUUGGCAAGUAAGCAGCAUAUAAAUUAAUACAGUAGAACCUCUACUUACAACCACCUCCACUUGUGGACGUUCCAAGUUGUGACCACAGCAAACCCGGAAGUAACCGGUGGGUUUGCCGCCGUUCACGCACGUGCAGGAGCAGCAAUUGCCUGCGCCUGCGCACAACGGCGCCUCUCCCAGUGACCCAUUUCGCCAUAAGGACGGGCUUCUGGAACGGAUUGUGGUCGUGAGUAGAUGUUCCACUAUAAAUACGUUUCCUGCAGCACUUUCCUGCAGAGUUGAUUUUUCUGAGAAAAACCCAGGUUUUUUAUCUCUCACAUUUCCCUUUUCCAGACUUUUUGCCAAAUAGACUUGACUAUCUUACCUUUUACCGCCACCCCAACAUACACCCGCACAGUGAUCUGGAAUGAUGCUUGAUUAUAAAGGAUGCAAAAUGGUGGCUCUUCUGCUAACAUAGUUACAACUUCUGAACCAUCUUCAAGGGAAGUCCCACUGAGAGGUUACCAUGGCAUGGAUCAUGGUUGCCAAUUCCUUCUCCAGGAAGUUCUAUAGUUUGCGAAACAGCUGGUGCUGGAAAUAGGCAUGCCUUGCCAAUGGGACCACUUGGACGUCAAGUGAUGGAGACAGAUCAAUGAGUAUCCCAAAGUGUUGAUAUCCUCUUUACCCUCUAUGACUUGGAGGCAAAGGUCUGAAGUGGGGAGCCUCCUCUACUAAUGGAGUUUCCCUAUGUGAUUUAUAACCCUGGAAAUCGGGGGUUCUAAAUCAUGCCAGGCAGGGAACAUCUACAAAUAGAGGAGGCUUCCUGCUUCAUAUUUCCUGCUCCAACUCAUGGAGACAGACAAGUAUAAUGAUACCGGGGUGUAGCCUUUACUCAUGAGCAGCACACCCCCAACAAGAUUUAUGUUAAAAUGAAGGAACUGGAUUAACAUCCCAAAAUUUGCUUUGUUGGUAACUCUGACAUUUUUGGACAGGUUUAAAGUAAUAAAAGGUGCACUUUAUGCUUGUCUAAACAAAUCCAAUCCAAAUAACUGAAGCGAUAAACCUGAAACAUCCAUUUGGGGGUGUGGGGAAGAGCAAUGUUGAUCUUUUAAACUUAGCUACAGGCCUGUGUACAAAUGCAAUACAACCAAAAUCAAAAGACUUAUGUUUCUUCCUAAAUGUCAUUGACACCAUGCUGAAUUUCACAAAGCACAUCACUUCUCUUAUUAUUAGUCUUGCAUAAGCUACACAUUUGAAAAUCUUCCUUUCUUUAAUUGUUUCUGUAUUAACUUAAUGCUCUUUGCUGUUCAUGGGGGCGGGGUAAUCUGUAGGCCACAAUCUGUUUGUUUUAUUCCAUAGUGUAUAUUUUGCUUCAGGUGAAAUCAGCAGAUGGUUAUUUCAAACAUUCCUGUUUGAUUUACUGUAUUUGGUAGUAAUUAACUUUGCACUCUUUGUCAAAUGUCACAAAGAAAAGGACAUCUUAGCAAUAUUUUCUGUGAAGGUUUGCAAAAAAAAAAGUACUUUUGUGUAGCUCCGUUUUGGUUCUGAAUAGUUGUAGAUGAAGAUUUCUCUUUCUGGGCUAAUUCAUUGUCACAAAGAUGUUACUCUCUAUGUAAGAGACAGUUAAAACAUAACUAGGAAGAAGCAGAAACAGGUGGGGAAAAGAAGGACAAUAGUUUGACUUGUGGGGUUUUCUUUUGUUUCUUUUGUUUCCUCACCCUGAGCACAAGUUAUUGUGUGUGUAUCUGUUGGUUGAAGGUGGGGAAUCUGAUUCCCGGGGACCAAAUGUCGUUCUCCAACCCCUUUCUACCUGGCCACAACCACUUUCCCCAUGCCAUCCCCUCACUAGCCUUCUUUCAUAUCCUCCUGUCAUAUUUUUGGUCAGGCUAGAAUGUGUCAUUAAACUCCAAUGAAGUUGCUUUCUUCAGUGGAGGAUAAAGAGGGUUGGUGUAGAAAUGAGCCUACGGUAUGCAAAAGUAAUAUUUGCAUUAGUUGCUUCACCCACCCCACCCACCACUGUGGGAUAUUGCCCCCAGAUGGUUCCCCAAAUCAUAAUCCAGCUGUCAAUCUGAAAAAGGUUCCCUUCCCCUGCUCUGGAACUUUCUUCUAUUGGUCUUUACCCAAAGACCAAUAGGCAUUGUAGAAUGAUGCUCAGAACACCAAUUAGAUUAGUCCCUAUUAAUGCUCUGCUCAGUAAAUACCAGCGUCAUUCAUUUUUAGUGCUGUUGACUUCCAGAGGUGCUGCCUUCUACAGUAACUGUUACCACGGUUUCUGCUAGCAGCCGAGACCCCUUAUGCUGUGACCUUCACAGGGGUCUGAGGCCUAAUCUAUCCCAAUACAGUUUUUCUUCAUGUUUCAUUUCAUGCUGGGGUAUCUAUUCACAAUCCAAAACUUGUUAUAAUUCAUAACUCUAAACACAUAAUAAUUUUACAUUAAAAUAGUGCUAAAAUGCACUCCCCUCACCACAGGGUCAUUACCUCCUAGUGGUGCAGCAAUAAAACCUGCUAGCAGCUUUGUAAAGCAAAGCAAGGUCUGGUAUGGUUUGAAAUUGUAUGGGGGAGGUUGAAAUUGUAUGUAUGUUGAGAUGUGUUCCUGCAUUGCAGGGGUUAGACUAGAUCAUGGGUAGGCAAACUAAGGCCCAGGGGCCAGAUCCAACCCAAUCGCUUUCUAAAUCUGGCCCAUGGAUGGUCCGGGAAUCAGCUUGUUUUUACAUUAGUAGAAUGUGUGCUUUUAUUUAAAAUGCAUCUCUGGGUUAUUUGUGGGGCAUUGGAAUUUGUUCACCCCCCAAAAUAUAUAUAUAUAUAGUCAGGCCCCCCACAAGUUCUGAGGGACAGUGUACCGGCCCCCUGUUGAAAAAGUUGGCUGACCUCUGGACUAGAUGAUGCCUGGGGUCCCUUCCAACUCUACAAUUUAAUGAUUAUAGGAUUUAAAACUGUGCUUCCCCCACCUGCAAUUCGGUGUGAUACAUCCCAGCAUACUACCUCUAAGAGUUCAUUCUGCUGCAUGUAUAGAUCAGGUCACAGACUGUGCCAUUUGUGGGCAGCAGCUCACCAUGCAAACUAGAAGAUAUUACUACUACAGCUACUACAACAAAUGUGUAUUUUUAUAACUAGGAUGACUAUACCUAAGUUUGCAUCAAAUGCCUCAUUAAAACAGCUUUACAUUCAGUUGCAUUUGGUUGUGCUACAGUGAGAUGGAGAGGAAACACCCCUUUCUCUUGUUUGGAACUGGCACUGCUAAUGUUUGCUUUUGUACCUUCUUAAUACUUACUUGACAUGUACACAUAUUUUUUAAUGAGCAGAUAGUGACAAACAUUACAUAAAUAUCCAGCAAUUUCCUCCAUAAAGAAAACUGAAUACCUGACUGCCUUGAAUAUUUCUAAACUCUACUUGAUAUUCUUGCUGAGUUUUUUUCUGUCCUUGCUCAGAUGAUUCAGAGACUGUAAUAUGCAUAUCCUCUCCAGAAAGAUGUGCUCACUGAAUCCGAGCUGCCAUUCAUUUGUAUCUUCUCCCCUUUUUCCCUACAUUUUUUCCCUUUCCAAAGCUCCAGGCAUGAUCAUGUUUGUGGUAGAAACCUGGUCUCAGUUGGAGAACUGGAAACUGCAAUUAAAGCAACAAAUAUCCACCAUCACAAUCCGUGAUCAGCUGGAAACACAACAUGCAAAAGGCUCUGCCCUAGGGCAGUAACACUGUUUUCAUAAUGCAAAUCUGGCAGAGAUGGGUAAGAAAAUCUGAUCCAGAUUGCCAGUGAUGUUUCAGAGAUUUAAAUAAAAGUAACACCAUGCUUAGCACUGGAACAUGUUUGUGUUAAGAAAAAAAAAACAAAGGAAACAAUUACCUUUUAGUAAUCUUUUAGCGUUUUUAAGUCAGUAUAAAAAUUACCCAAAACAUUAUUUUUUCUUCAUCUGCCUUUAUAAUGACCAACAAUAGUGAAUUUUCAAUAAGGGUGUUUCAAAUGAUUCUGAAAAAAUAAUAAUGUGACUGUUGCUCUGGACAAGUUCAGAAAAUCUGCAAGGGGGAAAAACAAAUGCAGCACAUCCCAUAUCAUAGUAUUUCCACAUGUUAGAUCCACAGUUUAGUAAUCCAAACUAUAGGAAUACAGCUGGAGUAAAUUAUGGCAAUGUAAUUUACCACUAUUCCAAACUCGGUUCAGGAGGGGGGUUACUACCACAUAAGCAAGCCCAAGCCUAGCAGAGAAAGAAGAAGCAUUUAAAAUAGAGUUUGAUUUGCACCAGCCUUUUUGCUAGUGUAAUGUCCAGUGGGUCGUGUGUGACUGAGCAGAAUAGAGUUUGGAAAAGGGAUAGGUUCCCCUCUCUUCCGACUCCAGAAACCCUUUCUGCAGGACAUAUACCAGCCUCAUCUUGGUUGGCUCUGGCUGAGCUGCAAAGGAGGACUUGCACCACAGUAUCUACUCCCUCCCUCCCUCCCUCCCUCUCUCUCCCUCUCUCCUGGAACCCACGGUCAGUCAAUAAAGCUGAAUGGUAGAAGAUUUAGCACACAUAAAAUGUAGUCCUUCUUCACUUAGUGCAUAUUUAAACUGUAGAGUUCACUUCCUCACUAUGUGGUGACAGUCCCAAAAUUGAAGGAAAAUCAGGCAAGUUCAUGGACAAGAAUGCUACCAGUGGCUACUAGUCUUAACUGCUGUAUACUACCUCCUGGAUCAGAGGCACAUUUUUGUUUUUGUUGGCAUCUGUCCAUCUCAAGAGACAAUGGAGUGCCCCUCUAGGGAUGAAGUCAAACUGCUGUGUUGGCAGCACCAAAAUGACAUCCCCAGGACGCAAACCUGGGCAGUGUGUAUGGAGGUCCUGGGCUGACCAGAUAACAAGACAUUUCUCUUGGCUUAACUGAUGUAGACUAAAUGAAAGCAGUGCAAUACAUUAGACACCAGCUGGGCUGCAGGAAUUACCGAAAGGAGACAUACAAGGCGCCAUCCAACCAUCUUAGGGACUCCACUCUGGAUUUUUUGUAGGAUUUACUCCUUAGCCCUUUCUUCUCCCAAAGAUAUCCCACAGGGCAGUGGAAGUUUAGGGUCAAAAUUUUCCUUCUCCUAGAUGAGCUAGCUUUCCAGGUUUACAAGCCCUACCUGCUCCUCACUUCCCUCUAGAGCACAUGCAGAAACUGCCUUCUUGACUAUUGGACCCAGUAUUGGUCUUGUCCGCUUAAUUUGCCUGUCUUCGCAUGCAGGGGGAGUCCCUAACUCACUGGUUUACCCUCACCUAAUAUACUCACCCGUGACCCUCACCUAAUUUAGCCACCCAAUCAAAGCCACUGUCCUAUGCUUAGAUCUAGGAGUUACAAGUGAGAGCUGAGUGCAGGGUGGAGGACCAAAGGUGGACAGACUAUCCCAGAAGGAGCAUGACGUGUCCCCUCAGAGGUACUACCCCUCCCCUAAUACACCUGACAUCCCAUUAAAGGUACCAUUCCACUGAAUAUCAGUUACUGGAGAACAGCAGCAAGAGAGAGAUGCUAUCCUCAUGCCCUGCUUAUGAACAUCUGACAUGUCAUCUGGUUGGCUACUAGGGAAUCAGGAAUUUGGCCUACAAAACUCUCUAAUAUGAUCCAGCAGCACUAUUGUUUAUGUACUGUACUUAGGAUUGGUGCUGUUAACCCUGUAAAUAAAUGUCCAUUCAAUAGGAAGAGAGGACUAAAGGCAUAACAAUAUUAUCUUACACAUUAAGACUUGGUACCAAUGAAACAUGUAUAGGAUUUUAGUGUUGAGUAAUGAUCUAGCCAGGUUAAGCACUUUUAAGGUCCAUUCAACUCACUACAAUGUGAGAAAUGUAUGCAUAUGCCUAAUCUUCCCCCAUUAAAUUCAAUGAGAUGUAAAAAUUCUGAAUUUGAGCUCAAUUGUGCCUCAAACAGUUCAUUCCCUUUACAAUAAAUUAUUCAUGGGUAGAAAAAUGAAACUGUGUUUUUUGUGAGGUUUAUUUUUAUCUUUAGCAAACAAACCUUCAAUUAAUUCUUCAUCUUCAAGGCUGUGAAGGCUUGACAAUGGCAUUAGGGGAUUAUUUUUUAUUAACCUCCAUUAAUUUGGUAUUCCAUAAACUUCUGAGAACAUGGGAAUGCUAGAAAGGAAGCACAAAAUGGAAGUUCAAACUGCAGUAGGGGAAAGUGAGGGCCAUAUGCCUCUCUCACACUUUUUGCAUGCCUUGAAAAGCAGCCAGUCAUUCUCAGUGGCAAAAUAAGAUGGAAAUCCUGGAACUCACAGAGCAGUUCUCUAACCAUCCCAGCAGUAGACAUGAGUCAGGCACAUUAGGGAAUAUAAUGGGGACUUCCUAUCCCAAGACCCAGUCAUAGAUGUCUGUAGCACAAAGCCUAGCUUUAUAUGCACAGGGUCCCAGCUUUAAAUCAAGGGUAUAAAUGCCCACUAGACAUGGUUCUGGGCUGAGCCAAUCAAGAGGAGCACCACAUGGACAAAUAGCCUGGUUCCUUCAUGGGCUAACCAACCCUUUUGGACCACCUUUUUCUUGGCAACUCUUGUGAUCAAUCAUUCCUGCUAUUUGGCCUAAUAAACAUGUUAAAGAUAUAAAAGUAUAUAAAGAUAUAAUAUCCAUAAAAUGAUAUGGUUUGAGUGCAUUGCAUUUAAAAUGCUAUGAAGAAAAGUUCUCAUUAGGAAGGAGGUUUCAUUCUGGCAAAAGCGGCAAGGAAAGGUUGGGCAUUUUUCCAUUUCAGUCUUUAGACUAAUUGAUGACUCGUCACCAGAAACCCAAGCUACAGAUCUCUCACAGCAGGAAGGUGAAACCUGAGAAUUCAGUCUCUUUGCCAUGGAUGGAGCCAGCAGCAACAGUAGUAGUAGCAAGUAAGCAUGAUGAUGAUACAAGCGAGUUGCUUAGGAUCUCUCUUUGGGACCAGAGAAAGGAAAGUACCGUAUUUUUCUCUCCAUAGGGCGCACUGGCCCAUAGGACGCACCUAGUUUUUUUUGGGGGGGGGAAUAAAGAAGAAAAAAAUUAUUUCCCCCCCAGGCGCAGGGCUGGGGCAGAGGAAGCCCGAGCUUCCCCCGACCCCAACCCCCAGAACAGGCUGCUAUCCGCAAGCCUAGGGAGCCCGGUGUGAAGUCGCGCCGGUCUCCCCGGGCUUGCGGAUAUCUUCCCGAAGCCCAGGGCGCGUGGCUCAGUGCGCCCCAGGCUUCGGGAUGCAGGCAGCUCCCACCGCCAGCCUCCAAACCAGGUCAGGGAACAGCGGGAAGGCGCGCUCCGCCUCCCCGCUGUCCCCCAAGCUUGUGGGGCUAGCGGUGGGGAGAAGCGCUGCAUUCCCCACCGCCAGCCUCCAAACCAGGUCAGGGAACAGCGGGAAGGCGCGCUCCGCCUCCCCGCUGUCCCCCGAGCUUGUGGGGCUGGCGGUGGGGAGAAGCGCUGCUUUCCCCACCGCCAGCCUCCAAGCCAGGUCAGGUUUGGAGGCUGCUAUCCGCAAGCCUUGGGAGCCCGAUGGGAACUCCCGCAGAGCUCCCAAGGCUUGCGGAUAGCUUCCUGAAGCCUGGAGAGCGAGAGGGGUCGGUGCGCACCGACCCCUCUCGCUCUCCAGGCUUCAGCGAAAGCCUGCAUUCGCCCCAUAGGAUGCACACACAUUUCCCCUUCAUUUUUGGAGGGGAAAAAGUGCGUCCUAUAGGGCGAAAAAUAUGGUAUAUUGAACUGCAUUAAGGAAUAAAAACGAAGAUGGGGCUACAUCUUGUAAUGUUUAUUUGUACAGAUUUAACACAGUAAAGCUUUGUGGUGGAGAACAUUCAUUUCUACUCUGCACACGGUCCUAAUCACGGAUUCCAUUGCAAUGACUCUAACAUGCCAGGGAGCAUCACAAAAGUACUCAUUGCCACUUCCUCAUCAUUCCUUCCCCCCAACAGUCUUGCCCUCAGGGAAACUGAAGCCAAAUUAAAUUGCGGGGGGAGGGGGGAGCAUCUCUAUCUACAACUCCAUGUAACCAUGAUCAGCAUUUUGAGAUGGAGUAGCUCCUGAAAAUGUUACAUGCAUGGGGUUGUAAACUUCACACCCCACCAGGGCUCCUUUGGCUUGGACAGUUGUUCUAUAGGCAGCAGGGUAGCAUCUGUUGCAUGUCAUGAAUAAUAAUAAUAAUAAUAAUAAUAAUAAUAAUAAUAAUUUAUUAUUUAUACACCGCCCAUCUGGCUGGGCUUCCCCAGCCACUCUGGGCGGCUUCCCAAAAAAUAUUAAAAUACUAUAAUACAACAUUAAAAGCUUCCCUAAACAGGGCUGCCUUCAGAUGUUUUCUAAAAGUCUGGUAGUUGUUGUUCUCUUUGACAUCUGAUGGGAGGGUGUUCCACAGGGAGGGCGCCGCUACCGAGAAGGCCCUCUGCCUGGUUCCCUGUAACUUGGCUUCUCGCAGUGAGGGAACCGCCAGAAGGCCCUCGGUGCUGGACCUCAGUGUCCGGGUAGAAUGAUGGGGGUAGAGAUGCUCCUUCAGAUAUACUGAAUCAUGCGUGGAAAUGGGUCUAGGUCAAUAGGGGAACCACCAGCAGUAGCCUAGUCACAGCUCCUGAUCGUAGGGUAGGCUGCGCAUAUAUCUGAUGGAUAGUACAGCAGCCUGUGGAGUAUGAGACCCACAGAGAGAGUGAUGAGCCUAUAGUCCCUGAACUUGGUCCCAUUCCCUCCAGUGAAUACUCCUCUGUGAUCUGUGCACUUGGUAGAAGAUAGAUGGCAUGCUAAGUUUUUAACAUAAUCCAUCCAUACGCAUACAGCACAAACACAUAUUUGUUUCCAUGCACAACUUUUGAUUGCUAUUAUUUUAAUGUAUCAGCUAUCUUUUGGUUUCAAACCAUGCUAGCUUUUAAUUCUGAGCAACUAUUUUCAUCUUCAGUGUUGCCAGCAGGAGAUGAAUAGCAUUUAGGUGUUGCAGUAAACUCACAGUCAAAUGACAUAGCAUAAACUGACAAUAGCAUUCAAAUUGCCUAGCUGGCUGGAAUGUUGCAACUUGCCUAAAUCACUUCCUUAAUUCUUCUUAAUGGCCCAUCUAAAAAUCUAUUGCAAAGCAACUGAACUAUUCAGCGUCAAACUUCAUUAAACAAAUACGCUAAAAAAUUAAGCAAUGACAAAAGUUCUCAGUGACGUUCUCAAAGGGAUACUAAGCUUAACACAUAAAUUGCUAAUCUACCAAGCAGAAGAAAAACAUCUGUCCGUAUGGAAGUUACUCCUUGUUAGUCAGUAGGUCAUAUUUUCAGGUUCAAUUAAGUGGAUGAAGCAGAAGACAAUGCUGUCAAUUUUAAACAAAACACAGCUUGUUACAUUGUCAGCCAUUGGCAGGGUCUCAUUAUAGCUUUUGUUUAUUUUCCUUGUACAGUACCUAGCACAAAAUUCAAUUCUGUAAUAAUAACCAAGUCAAAGUGCAAACCUAAUAUAAUAUGGCCCACAUAAUUUGUUUCACUACAUGAGCAGCACAGGGAAAGAUGUUCAGCUUUGACAAUUACAAUGCUUUCAUUAUUUCAGGUGUGUUGCUGAGAAGGUUCGUAAUGCAGCCAGGAAAUUAUUUUAAAAUGAUCAAAGCUAUGAUCAGAUAUAUCUGUUGCGGAUCUGUGUGUGUCAAUUUGCACUAUUGUUUUGUGUUCUGGUCAUGCUAAUCCAUAAUCUGUUGUUAGUGUACACAUAUUUCCACACUUUAUAGCAUAAGGAGUUGACUGAGAAAAAUAUUCUUUAUUCUCAGAAUAUUGUGCAAGGUUUCUAAAAAGCCCAAGAGAUCUUGAUAAAUAAUAACUGGGUUAGGAGAACAGACCAUCUGUUAUUUUGGGUUAUCAAAGAAUGGAAUUCAGAUGAGACUCUCAUUUUUGCUCAAUAAUAGUUUAAAGUUAGCAUUGCGUUGGGGGGGAGUGGCUUGAGAGAGCAGUAAAAUUCAUAGACUUACCUCUUAAUGAAGUGUGAAUGAUGACAUUUGUAACAAGAUUUUUUAAAAACAAACAAAACAUAUUUAUAUCACAUUUGAAUAAUGGCACUGAUAAGAAAAACUUUGCAUCUAUGAAGAGAGUUCUGUUGCAUUUUUAGCCUCUGCACCCUGAACAGUGUCAUGCUUGAGCAAACAUUCAAUCCAAGCACUUUCAGAGCCCUUGUCUACUAGCAAGGACUAUUUAUCAACUGUUAUUUCCAACAACAGAUUCAUCCCAUGGAUGCCCAAGGCUGGAAUCUGGGGGUCAUCACAUGCAACUGGUUAGCAGCAGAUUCAGCACAGACAAGAAGAGGUAUCCUCCUUCAUACAGCACAUAGUUAAUUUAUAGAAUAUGCUGCUAUAAGAUGUGGUGAUGGUUACUAGCUUCAAUGGCUUAAAGGGGGAUUAAAAUUCAUGCUAUACACUGAGUUGAUGAGCCCACCUGUGCCAGGAACUGACCAGACCCAGACCUGCUGAACUUUAGCUAAGCUGCUGCAUUUUACACCUUCAGACCAUUCUCUGGGGCCAGUGUGUUCUCUCCCACUGUUGACUGUAGCAAAAGAAAAGUGCUUGUGGAAUGUACUCCAUCGGCCACAGGCAGCAAUGGCAACAUAGCAUGAGUGGGGUUCUGAUAGCAUCCUUCACUACGUCAUCUUUGUUUUGCAAACAAAAUAAAUAAAUCACUCCCCCCCCCCCCAUUUUGGCUUUGCUUAGUAUAACAAAGUUCAAUGUGUGCAUUUCUUUAGACAGUCCAGUUACAAAUUCCACUCAGUAAAUUACAUUAUUCUUCCCAUGAUUAGGUGGUGCCAUGUUUAAUGUUGUCUGUUAACUAUUCCAUUACUGGAUACUUGGAAGUGAUCAUCAUAUAGACAAUGCCUGUUGCAACAUUUAAAAAGUCUCAUUGAAGUUCUGCAAAAUGGAAAGAUUGUUUUGUUUCCAGUUAAACAAGAUAAUUCUAUUGAGAGAAAUAAGUAAUAACGUGUUACAAAAUGAGACCUCUCAUGGCCUAAAUUAAAAAUAUAAAGGCUGAACGAUGCCUGAGUAUUCUUACAUAACUUGAUGAGGAAGCAGAAUUCUAUACAAUUAAGUAUACAUGCAAUUUAUAAACAACAGCAUAUCUCCUCAUAAAUCUGCAAGUGCAAGAACAUAAGGCCUGAAACUAUUUCAGUACCAGUGUUAAUUGGUCUAAUGUUUACUGCAAUAUUUUUAAAAAUGACCUUUUAAAAAAAUGGUAGAGGUGUUCAGCGCCAUACAUUUUUAUUACACACACUCCAUUAGAACAGAUGGAGUUCUUGCUAUUUCAGAAGUCUCUUUGAUUACGAAUUUCAUUUUGGUAAACUAAGUUAACAAAUCAUCAGGGGAGGGGAUGGAUAAUGUUUAGAGAAAGUGACUGAAUUAUUGGAAAACAGGGGCAUGGGUGAGGAAGAGUCAUGAGCUCAGUUUAUAGCACAGUAAUAUAUCAUAAGGAAGGUACAAUGCUAGGGUGUAAUGCUAUUUAAAAAUAAUAAUAGAGUAAAAUGGAUUAAACUACAUUUGACAAUUUGAAAUGGACGUUCAAAAAAGAAAGAAAGCUUUGUUGCUAAGGAACUAUAAAUAAUUAGGUAAGUUUACUAAACAAAUUUGCUCAAUUUUCAUUCUAUUUACCAAAAAAGGAAGUAUAUAACUACUUUGUAUCAUCAGGUCCUCUUUUCGAAUGACCUUUCUGUUGCUGAAGACAGCUACAACAACACACUGGUGGUUUUUGUUGUUGUUAGAAUCCAUCUAUUUCUGGAGACAAUGGAAGAAUGUGCCUUGGGGGGUAAAGUCAAACCGUUGGAGAGUUACAGCACCUGCUGUGGCUGUAGAGACUGAUAUAGGAGAGACAUGUUUUAUUGCAGGUGGAGCAGAUGAAGGCAUCUGGUUUUGCUAUAUUGGGUGCAUCAUGACAUUUCGUCUCUCUGCGCUCUUCCCAGUGGUCAUUCCUCCUCUGGUCACUACUGUGGAUACACAACCUGACUGUAUUGCACUUAUAUCACUUCAUUUUCCUCCACUUGAAUUUUGUACAUUUGAUGACUGAUAGCAGAAUAUGUGACAUGACUCAUAGUAUUAUGCUAAGAUGAUAUGAAAAUUAUCCAGUUUUGUAUUUGUGGUGCCCCACUCCCACUCACUCCAUCUAAGGGUAAAAUAUAUAUUUUCCAUUUAAGGAAAAUGCCAGCAGGGAGAGAGAACAGCCUUGCAAAAUUGAAUCUUAUGUAUCUAGCUUAAGUAAAACACAAGAAUCGUGAAGUGGAGGGGCAGCUCUUUCAUGACUUAUAGGUCCAGCUUGUAAUAAGAAGAAUUUUCCUUACACCACCUUUUUGCCAGCUUAGUUCUGUCAGGUCAGUAGGUCACAUGAUAGAGCUGAAAGGGUUUGGAAUAUGUGUAAGUCUCUCCUUGCUCUGUCCCAGCACCAGCAUGACCCUGCCACACCUUUAAAACACCCCUUUGGGAGGGACUGGCAUUACCUUGAAUUCCACUGGUUCAGCCAGGGUGAAGAAUUUACAAUUUCUGAGCACCGACUGAGAUGGAAAAGGCCAAGGUUCACCAAAUCCAAACUCUCUCAUCCUGAUGGAUUUUGAGUUUUGAAUGUUUUGUUAGUUCUUAAGGAAGCUAGAAUAGAUACUGCUUUUACUGUGCAUUCCCAUCUACACUUGCACACAAAUGUACAUGUGUAUGCAACUGACAUGUCUGAGUCUUUAGCUAAGGGUCCCUGUGCACCAGGAGGCAGAUUACAUGAGGGGGAGUUAGAAGUCAAAGAAAAUACUGGAGCUUAGAGUAAAAACUAAAUGCAGUUUAUUGGGUGGAAGUUCCUAACCUUGAUAGCUGCUAGUGGCUAAGUACUUAUAAAUAUGUUUGCUGCUGGGGAUAUCAGUGUUUCAGGUAUGCAGUGUCCUCAAUUUGGGCCUUUGAAAUGUCGGAAUAGUGGGCACAACUUGGGCAAUUUGACUGAACUAGAAACCAGGCAUCUGCAUAUUCUGGGGUUAUCAAGCUUCUUUGCAUAAUUGGCAAGAACCACUCCUGAAGUUAAAGGUUGGUCUUUGUCCUGGUUCUCUAAGACAUCACUUAGUUCACAUUCCCUAGUCACAAUGGAGCUUCUUAGGGACAAGAUGUUGGGGCAUAGUUAAAACUGUCCUAAGUGGGAAUCAGGGUGCCUUAUAACCCUUUUUACAAUACUGCUCCUUGUGAUUGAUGUUGGCUCCUCAUCUGAAUUGUUCCAGCCAUGCUCAUGUCUUGUAAAUUUCUUUUCAAUAAAAGAGAGAAAAGGGCUAUUUCCUCACUGGCAACACUUAACUAUCAUCCACUACCGUUUGUUUUCCUUCUAUCCCAUCCUUAUUGUCAACCCCUGACUGCUGCUGAGAGUGACCAUAGCUUACCAGUAUUGUGUGUGCUUUGCAUACAGAAGAUUCUAUGUUCCCUCCUGGAGCCUAAUUUAAAAGGUUCAGGGAAACCUUUGCUGGCAUUCCUGGAAAACUCCUGCCAGUCAGAGUAUAUUAUACUAGGCUAAAUUGACAAAUAAUUUGAUCCACUAUAAGCCAGCCUCUUAUGUUCCUCUUCUCCACCUAAUAUACAUUGUAAAGGCUCUGGUUUGACAUCUGUGUUCUUUAAAGUGCCUAGCAUCCUGUUGAAACUCAACAAAUAUUAAAUAUUAUUUGUCCUGUUAAAUAAUCAGCUGUAAUUACUUUACAGUUGUAGUCUGCAGGAUUUGCCAGAAGAAGCUUGGAUCAGAGUCACAUUAGGCUUAUUAAAAUGUAAAGGUUCUACAGCAAAGAUAUUAACAUUAUGUAUGGAAGGAAUUAGUGGCUAGACUUCAUUUAUUGUAGUUAGUUGGGUGUUGGCUGGAAGAGCUGCGGGUGUUAAUUUUAUCUUAAUGCAUGUGAAAUGUUUUGGAUAACCACCAGCAGCUACUAAUAGCUGAAACCAUAAUGCUGUGAACAUUUCUCACAGCCGCACCCUUUUGAAAAUAUUAGUAAAGAACUUGGUGAAAUCGUUGAAGUAUGUGGGAGUUUCCAGUUUGUUGUCAUCCAAGGAAUGAAGGCUCCUUCAUGUUAGCUGCCAUGAGACUGUAUUUAACAAUACGGUUCUCUAUCACUAAUAUAAAGAGAGAAUUUUCAAUGAAGCCAGUGCAGAUUCUAACUGGAGAGGAAGUGGUAUCUAUGAUGGUUUGUUUUAUCAUUCUGGUGGAAUAAUUCUAUGAUGCUAAAUUCUUUGACAGUGCAAUUUUAUUAUGGGCAGCUGGUGUAAAUGGCCAUACCUUCAUGCCCAUUUACUGCAGCUGAGGACCUCAUCCGGCAUGUUAUGCACAUUAGGAGGGAAAGAUUUGCAAUUCCAUUCCUGAAUAUUGCUAGUUAUUUGAAAACUCUUUUUAAAAGUGUAUGUUUUAUAGCAUAUAUUUUCUCCUUUGACUCAAAAUUGCUGCACUGAUCAUUCUUCACUAUUUCUGCCUAUCCUGUUGACACACUAUUAAGGAUACACCCAUCCAUCAUACAGAGAUACACCCAAGCACUUCUCAUGUGGUAUGUCUGGUGCUUUAGUACUAAACCCAGAGUAUGAAAAUACACUCCCUAAGGAAAAAUAAGGUACCCUGUUAAGUAGUUUUGUGCAACAUAUUCCCUGAAUAUAUUAAUUCCUGAAGGGUAAAGUGUGCUGUUGUAGCCAAAACAUCAACAGAAUCCUAUGGCACCUUUAAGAUCAACAAAUUCAUGCACUACUAAAUAAAAAGAUUAGUGAGAACAUUGCAUCUAAAAGGAUGGGAAGAAAACCAGUUUUACCCAGUAGGACUGAAAAACAAAGCGGAAGAGUCAGCAAUGCAUGUUUCCUCACAAUCCUAUACAGUCUCAAGAUAAACGGGAGAGUCAAGAGUAGACCUGUUCCACUCCUACAAUAAUCAGAUAAUACAGUUUACCCCCCCACUAAUAACUAUACUAGAGGUACAAUUUGGAUUUGGAUGAAUUCCGCAUCCUGAGCCAAAGCAAGAUACUUUGCAGAUAUUUUAUCAGAAGCAAAUUGGAAUCUGCACAAGUACAAGGAAGGGCCCUUGAACUGUUUCGUGGCACCUUGACAGACCAGACUUUUAAAAAAUAAAGUGGAAGUAACUGUCUGCUGAAAAUGAAAGUAAUAUCUCUAAGCUUACCAUAAAGUUGGGAAGGGAUGAAGCAAACACCAGAAUGGGAAGGGGGCAUGGAGAAAGAGCUCCAUUGUAAGUCUAAUUUGUAAUCAGAGAGAAAGAUAUUACCAGCACUCUCUAGCACUGAUCUAAAAUGGCCAACUUCCAGAACUCUUAGAAUAAGUAGAACAGAUAUUUGGUGAAUUCUUGAUAUUUCAAUCAUAAGAAAGAUAUACAAAUCACCUGGAAACUUUCUACUUAUUAAUAGCACAUAAUGCACUUUUUUCCCUUUGAGAUGCCAGCCUGUAUUCUCAGUACAACACCCCCUUAAAGUGUUUGCUCCUCCUUCACUCCAUUGCUGUUUUGUAGCAUUCCAAUGAGAACAUCAUCCAUCUAGAAUGUCCAUGCCAGAUCUUGUAUGGCAAGAUAAGCACAAUCAGAUUUAUUGCUUAGGCAUAAUGACUGUCAUAAAGCAACAUUUUAUUUAUGCAAGAUAAAGUGUGGUGAAACAUGCAGUUGGGUUUGAUUUCAAUAGAACAGUCAAGAUUUUCAGGAAGCACGAGUGUGCUGUUGUGAUGUCAUUGAUAAAUACCAGUAGAUAGAUUAAUGUCACUUUGAAGCUACAUUUUGCAAGUGCUGAUGUUGAGGAGAAACAGCUUCCUACAUUCGGAAGUUUAAUAAAGUUGUGGCCUAAUUUUAAUUCCAUAUACGUUGUCAGAGUCUUUAUUCCUUCCUUAUGAUCCCUGGGGGCUGGGGCUGUCACCGCCUGGUCACGCAAAAGUAUUUCUACAGAGCAGCAAAGAAAACACAAGCUUAGCUGCCAGAUGUCCUUAUAGGCAAAAACUAUAUUCAUGAAUACCUAGAAUGAACUAAGACUGCUUGAGCUGUGCUUGCAUCAUGAACAUGUUGUUUUCUAUGACAAAACUCCCAGUGUCCUGGAGACAUCCAAGGUCAGACCACUGGCACUAGCUGGACUUGAUUGUCACCAGGCAAUCAGCACUUAACUGUAUUUGUGUCACAUGGACCUACCACAGCGCCAUCUGCAACACACAUCACUCCCUGGUGGCAAGAAAGAGCCAUCUCCAGUCAGAGAGGAUGCAUAGCAAAUAGCAGAAAGUACAGACUUGAAUCAACACUGUGACAACUGCCAUACAUGAACUCUGUUAAUGCUCCUCUGAUUCUGCCAAACAAGCCCUACUGAGCUGCCUCAGAUAUAGCGUCAAUGUAAGGUUCAACCUCAAAAAAGAGGGAAUCUACAACACAGCUAUGUCCGCCUUUGGCCAAAAAGACCAGCAGAUCCCUGAGUGGUUUGAGGCUGGAAAAAGAACAUUGAUGCAAAGCGCAAGGCUCUUGUGAACUACAAGCAUGCACCCUGCAAAAAUAAAUUUGCUACACUGAGAAAGGCAAGGAGUGAUGCCCAGUGGGUUGUCAGAUGAUGUGCCAAUGACUACUAGCUAAAGCUGUGUGAGAACACUCAACUCGCUGCUGAUGCUGGCAAUACUCACAAAAUGUACAAAGGCAUGAAGAAAGCCUUUGGACCAACAGUCAGAAAAACUGCACCCCUGAAAACAUGAAAGCUGGCUUCAAUUCCUUUCUCAUGACAUGCCUCCAUAGCCUACUCUUGUUGUGUUGGGAAGAAGGAUCUCUGCCACAAGACAUGCACAACUCCAGCAUUGUGACCCUCUGCAAGAACAAAGGUAACUGCCAUGAUUGUAACAACUACUGUGGAAUCUCCCUGCUGAGUACUGUGGGUAAAGCCUUUGCCCAUGUAUUUUUCAAGAGAUUACAGUUGCUCACUGACAGGAUCUAUCCUGAGUCACAGUGCAGCUUUAGAUCUCAGAGGUCAACAGUCUACAUGAUUUUCUUGCUGCAUCAGCUGCAGGAGAAAUGCCAACAGCAGAGCUGUCCCUUUUACAUCGCCUUCAUAGACCUGAUGAAGUACUUUGACCUCAUCAGCCAUAAAGGACCUUCACUUCUCAACAAGACAGGAUGCCCAGCUAAACUUCACAAUAUUAUUGUGUCCUUCCACAAGAACAUGUGUGGCACCAUCCAGUAGGUCAGCUCAUCCUCUAAAACCUUGGCUAUAAAGGUGUGGAACAGGGCUGGGUUCUUGUCCCAGCUCUCUUUGGCAUAUUCUUUUCCCUGCUGCUCUCAUAUGCCUUCAGCUCAACUGAAGGCGGUGUGUCCAUCCAUUCAAGGAGUGACGGGGGUCAGUUCAACCUGGCAUGUCUCCGUGUCAAAACAAAAGUGAGAGAUGCAGAUAGAACCCGCUCAUUUUAGUAGAUGUAAACUAUUGUUCUACCAGAGAAGUGAGACUUGUGAAAGCAGAUGCUGCAGCAGAGGUUGCACAAGUUUGCAGCAAUUUGAAUUAAAUCUCUGGAGGAGGGUUUCUACACUCUGGUACAUCAAGGCUCUGUUCCUUUCCCCCCACUCCUUUGUUGAGCAUAUGCUCUUUUUGCCUGGGGCUUAUUGUCAGUACUGUCACCAGGGGAAUGGAAUUCUGCUGUAUGGCUAGGUAACAAAUACUGGAUUAUCUCCAGAAGUAUUUAAAGCGUGGAGAAGUCUUUAGGGAGGCCAGAUACAAUAAUGGUCACAAUCCUUGUGAAACAUUUUCCUACCAUACUUAGAUGCCACAACUAUUUUAACCAUGGCUGGAUUGAAACAUCUGGAGGCCCAUACAAUAUCUUGUAAUAUAACAAGACAUGGUAUAGUGUUUCCCUUUUCACAUGACUCAGAGCAGCAAUCAGUUGAUGGGAAUUCAAAAUGUUGAUGGAAUACCCUUUUGUAUGGCUGCUAUUCAGAUUAGACUGUGCUCUGAGCUAUGAAGAGCUUUGAGAAUAGUUGUGUGGCCAAGCUCCCUCUAUGCAGACAUGCCCUCCGAUAAUUUCACUACAGCCAGGGACACUGCAAAUCUGGGGAGAUAAAUCUUUAAAACAUACUUAGGCUGCCUGUCUCUUACUUAAGUAGCAUUUUUCAUUUUGGGGAUUGUAUCCAGUGUUAGCCAUACACAGAGCAGACCCAUUGAAACUCAUGACUAACAAGUAAAUUGAUUUCAUUGGGGCUGAGUAGAACUUCAGAGGCAGUAUGGUUCUGAAUACCAAUUAUUGGGAAUCACUGGUAGGGAGAUUUCUGUUGCAGUCAGGUCUUGCUUUUGGGCUUUCCAUAGGCAGCUAGUUGGCAACUAUGAGACUGUGAUGCUGGACAAAAUGAGCCAUUGGCCUGACCCAGCAGGUCCUAUUUAUGUUCUUAAUUUAGUUGGAUACAACCCUUACAUUCUUAAUUUAGUUAGAUACAAAUUUAUCUUUUCUCAAUGAAUAUUGUUCCAGAAAAAUAUUGACAUGCACAAAGAUAUCUAAGUGCCCUGUGAAACCCCAUUCAGUUCCCCAGAUCACCUUGAUGCUUGUGCUCUGCUUGAGAUAUGUUUUUGUAGAGGAAGGAUGAACCGAGCCUUUUUCAUCCAUUCACUUUUAAUGGUAAAGGUAAUUUUCUCAGGUGGUCACCAAGUAGCUGCAAUUACAGCUUCUUGUGCUGGAGAAAUUUUUCUAAGACACUAAUGGUAAAAGACAUGGGAAGAGCAAUAGAAACUCAGCAUGCUUCUCAAACUGGCUACUAGGUACACAGUAGCAGACCUAGAAAUAUGAAGUCUAUGCCAAUUCCCCCCACCCCCUUUUGCAAUAUAAAACUGCUGACUGGGGUUAUAGGAAAAAUGUGAAAGCCUUUCAACCUGUGGACACUGAGAUGACAACCAUUUUCAUCAGAAAAAAAUGAAAAGAAAAGGAUGAAGAAGCACUAGUAUGCCACUUAUGGGUUAGAAGCCAUGCUGUGAAAGAAAUUCCAGUAAGAAAAUCAUUAUACAGCAAUGCACGCAACAUGCCGAUUUGGAAAUCCACAGUGGUGGAAGAUUUUGUAAUUAUUUGAAGCUGGAUUUGUGAAGAGAACCUGAUUCCUUUCCUCUGUCUAUCUUGGAAAGAAGGUAGGACCUAUAAAAAGUAGUGUCUACAUCCAGAGGACAAUCAAGUAAUGAAAAUUAAUCACUCUCAGCCAGCAAUAUUAAAACUCCCCUGACCACACAUUAAAAAACCUUUUCUCCCUCUCUCGUUUAUUUUUUGGUGGGGGAGGGGGCUGGAGGGGGAGUGGUUGUUUUUUUUAAGGAAGUGGGGGAAAGAAAAUACCCAUCAAAAUGGCUGAAGCCUCUCCCCUACCAAGUACCUAAUUCCUUCCUAAGCAAAGUAAAAUGAAAAUUAACUUUGAGUCAAGUGGGGGGGCUGGUGAUGGAGGUAAGUGAUGAUGGGUGGGAGAUCACUAGUAACAAGAGGACCAUGGGAGUUUUAAACCCCCCAUUGGUUUUUGAUGGCUUGUGGUUCUAAAGCCUUCAAGAGUAGGAUAUGGAUCACAUUCAUAUUUUUUUAUUUUAUUUCAUCUAACUCUAGUUUUAUGUCAUUUUCAGACAAAUCCUAUAAUUAUUUACCCAUAAGUAAGUGAAAGCUGGACCAUAAAGAAGGCUGAUCACCGAAGAAUUGAUGCGUUUGAAUUAUGGUGCUGGAGGAGACUCUUGACAGUCCCAUGGACUGCAAGAAGAUGAAACCUAUCCAUUCUUAAGGAAAUCAGCCCUGAGUGCUCACUGGAAGGACAGAUCCUGAAGCUGAGGCUCCAAUACUUUGGCCACCUCAUGAGAAGAGAAGACUCCCUGGAAAAGACCCUGAUGUUGAGAAAGAUGGAGGGCACAAGGAGAAGGGGACGACAGAGGAUGAGAUGGUUGGACGGUGUUCUCGAGGCUACCAACAUGAGUUUGACCAAGCUGUGGGAGGCGGUGAAGGACAGGAGUGCCUGGCGUGCUCUGGUCCAUGGGGUCACGAAAAGUUGGACACGACUAAAUGACAACAAAAGUUCUCCUGUGUUCAGUGGGGCUUAAUCCCUAGAAAUUGUGCUAAGGAUCACAGCUAUCCUAUGCAUGUUUACUGAGUUGUGAGGCUCAUCUUAUUCAACUGAUCCUUAUUCACAGAUAAGUGUGCAGAUGACUGCGUUCAGAUUCUGUCAACUUCGGGUCUUUAGGAAAGGCAAGAAGACCUCAAAUUUACGUAAAACUGUUUUGGUAAAAUAGAUCAAGAAACAAUAUUUUCCAUGAAUAAUUGUACCAUAUAAAAGAAAAGAAACUUCUUACACUUGUCUAUAUUAAUAUGUGUUUCACUGAAGAAAUGACACUUACUUCAGAGAAAAUUUGCAUAGGAUUGUAUAUUGUCAUGUAAGACUUGCACAUGUUUAAGAACAGAACUUUAUUUCCUGAUUUAGUCAACAGUGUGCAUAAGACAACUAAUUUACAGCAGCAAAUAUUGCUUUAGACAAGUGUUCAUUAGCUACCACUAUAAUGUGGACUAUCUCUUCUUUAAAUGUUAAUUUGUUCAUUUACCCUUUUAUGUCUCCUGAGUGGUGUGGCAUCUUUUAAUGGUGUUCACCUGACUUGUCCCAUAUGCUAGCACAGCCAAUAAAAUCCCACUGAAUACCACUGUGUUUACUGAUGAGUAAAAAUGUCAGACUAUGAAAAUAAGAUUUUGGAGCAUGAUUGAUAGAAAAAAAGUUAACAGGAGUUAAUACAGAUUCAGAUGUACACUUAAAAAGUAAAUAUAGCUUCCAGAAUGGUGCUGAUUAAUAACAAAUAUUGACUGAAUGUUUACUUAUUGUGAACUGUUUCCUAGACAGUGCUUGAGAUAUACAGAAAUUCAAACAUAGAUUCCAUAGAUUGAUUUGCAUUGCCCUGCCCACCUCAGAGAUCUGUAGUUUAAGGAUAUAAAUUGCACAACCACAUCAAAAUCUUUAUCCCUGGGGCAGGAAUAACUGGAUGUCAUUUUGUGUCAUUCAACUAUGCAUUAACUGGUAUUUGGGCACAUUUCUCCUUUCUACAUUAAUACAGCAGAUCCCUUGAAAGGGACAUUAGAGAUUUUAGUGCAUGGAAAUUAUUAUGGCAUAUGAUACAAAAUGAAAUCAUCUCUCUAUCACCUGAUCUUCUACAACUCACCUAAUUAUCCUACUUGGCACUAAACUCUCUGAUAAUAUCAAGUGUCAUUCUUAGAAACCUUUAAUAGAAUAAAGAAUUGGUAUCUCUCAUUCUCCCACUUCCAAAAAACGCCCCAUCCACAUCUGGUGCCAUUGUUAAGAUUAGUUUUAUAAAAACUAUUUUCAAUCACUUCUAACUUUUCUCAGCUACAGAAGCAUCACAGGAGCUAAAUAUAUACAUUUGCUAACUGUGAUGGCUUCAGUUUCAAAAGCAAUGAGCACCAAGAAACUCUGCUAAUGUCAACAGGAGCUGAAGACCUUGAUCGUUUGAAAAAUACGGCCAAUAUAUAGCUUCUAAUGCCUGCAGUUUUCAAAUAUGAGCAAGUGUAUUAUCUGUGACUGUCAUUUCCCCAAAGCCUCAACCAUUGUCUUGUUCUGAAGAGAUUAUUGGCACCAUGUUCUAGGUCUGGUGCAGAGAUUGCAACAUGUGAAAGGUACAAAAGCAUAAAUGUUCUGGAGUAUCUAUAGAUUGCCAUCUGUAGACACAGAUUAAAACCUCAAAGUGGUAUUCUACAGUAGUUACAGACACACACCUGUGAGAAAUUUCUUUAUAUGCUUUCUUCAAAGUAAGGACAUCGUUCUUUACAGGCCUACUUUGAAGGCAAAACUUUGCUGAUUUCAUGAGGACUGAGCCUGGUGCUCCAUCAGCGACUUGUAAAAGAUGGAUUGCACAUUUUUAAAAGGACACCCCAAAAUAAGACAGAUUUUUUGUUCUAAUGAGUACAUUGGCACUUACGUUUCUCUAUGGGAAAUAAGAAUUUGAUAUAAAGCAAAUUAAAGGUAUGGAAGAAAGUGAUCUAUAACUGAGACUUCUGUGCUAUGAGGUUUCUGGUCUCAUUUUCUUCCUGCCAUUUAGCAAAAAGAAAAUCAGACAGUUUUAACACAUUCUGAGAUCCCAAACGAAAAUCAAAAGUAGCACAUGCUCCAUUUAAGAAUAUCAUUGUUUGAAAAAUGAUGCUGCAAGGGCAUUCAAUAAAGAAAUCAAUGGCUAUAUUGUGAAAUUUAACCUGCCUAUAUAGGACUUGAAAAAAUUGGUGCUUAGGAUUUUGUGGACCUGUUAACUGAGAGGUUAGAAUCUGUCUAUGUCUUUGAAUACGAUUGCUUGAAUUGGGCUUGCAGAAGGUGCUGUUUCACAACAGAAAGAAGGCUGAAAGCAAACUGAUGUGGUAUGAAGUAUAAUUUCCCUGUAUCUUUAAACAAACAAACAAACAAACAAACAAACCACCACCCUCUUCCUCAACAUACAUAUUUUUCUAUAGAAAUAUGUGUAUAUCGGCCCCAUCAGUUUAGGGAAAAUAUCGUAGCUCAGUAAUAGAACUGCUAAUGUCCCAGGUUUAGUCCCCAUCAUCUCCAGGCAAGGUUGGGAGAAAACCCUUACUGAAAUCCUGGAGAGCCAUUGUUAGUCAGUGUAGACAAUACUGAGCUAGACGGACCAGUAGUCUGAUUUAGUGUGAGACAGCGACCUUUGUUCCUAUGUUUUCCCAUUGGCCAGAAUGGAGUCAAUUAAGGAUACUAGGUCCUAUUAAGAGGUUAAUUUGCCCUGCCUUGAUCACCAUCCAUCUUGUCCUCCUGGUUUCUGAUAAGCCUGUCCUAUGGCAAAUGAAAACUUGAGACAAAAUCCUCUCUUGGGGAAACAGAAAAAUAGUGAGGUCUUUCUAAGUCCCAUUUUAUUGCUUUUUGGAACAAAAGAGCUUUGCUCAUUUGCCUUCUUAUGUGCCUGACAUUUUGAGCUCGGUAGUUUGCCAGCCAUUGGAACCAAUGGAAAACACAGAAGAGUGAAUAUUUUCUGUGAAUUAGGGAUGGGAGAUAAACUCAUUCCAUUCACACUUCCGUUGCAUUCCCUAAACCACUAUUAUGAACCAAAACCCAGUUAUCCUUAUAAAUUUGCACUUCUGUAAAUUUUGUGGUGAAGUUCUCCAAACAAACAACGAAGCUUAUAUAUUCAUGCACACAAAAAUGUGUAUAUUCGUAUAAACUGUACCAAAAAAAUGGGAUUAUGCUAAGGAAAAUUGCUUGCAAAAAUAUGCAUAUUAGAAGAAAUACGCAUUAAAACAAGAACAACAUUUUGCGUGGACUUUUGGGGGGGGGAAAGGUGAUCAUGAACUAAUGCAGAAAUGAGGCAGAUUGAACAUAAGGUUGUAGAAACGGUAAACAGAGAAUAGGGUUGCUGUACAUCAGCCAUACAUUUCCUGAACAUAUCCAGAAUACGGUGUCUUGGCAGAAAUUAGUAAAAAAAAAAAAAAAAAGUCUGGGGAAAUUAAAAAAACUUUGCCCCAAAAUGGUAAACAACAAACUUGCAACUACAGCGCAAGAAUGUUAUUUGCCCCAAAAUGGAAAGAUGAAGAAGUUGCUGGAAACCACAGGAAGGAAGAGUGCUCUGCUGCUUGAAUCCUGCCUGAGAGUUCCCCACAGGCAUUUGGUUGGCCACUGUGAGAACCCAUACAGUGGUACCUCAGGUUAAGUACUUAAUUCGUUCUGGAGGUCCGUUCUUAACCUGAAACUGUUCUUAACCUGAAGCACCACUUUAGCUAAUGGGGCCUCCUGCUGCUGCCGCGCCGCCGGAGCACAAUUUCUGUUCUCAUCCUGAAGCAAAGUUCUUAACCUGAAGCACUAUUUCUGGGUUAGGGGAGUCUGUAACCUGAAGCGUAUGUAACCUGAAGCGUAUGUAACCCGAGGUACCACUGUACAACAUAGGUGACUGGCCUGGUCUAGCAGGCUCUUGUUUACAUUAUUAUGCUCUUAGCGGCAGUGAUACUACACCCAUUAGACACUACCAUUUGGGUCACGGGGCAAUGAGAGCAGGGACGGGGGGGUUAAGGGGGGCUUUGGUUGCCCCCUGCUACUCUGGCACCAUCAUUGGUCCCACAAUACCAAAACUAGUGUCUCACUGGCAGAGCUCACUGCCACUUCUGCACUAAGGUUAGGUACAGUCAUACCUCAUGGUAAUGUCCGCUUCAUGUUGUGUUCUUUCAGGUUAUGUCCCGCAGAGAGCCGGAAGUACCAGAAAUUGUUACUUCCGGGUUUCGCCACUCGCGCAUGCACAGAAGCGCAAAAUGACAUCACCUGCAUGCACAAACGCGGCGAAUCACAACCUGCGCGUGCACAGAUGCAUCGCUGCGGGUUGCGCUCUUUUCAUGUUGUGAACGGGCCUCCAGAACGGAUCCCGUUCACAACCAGGGGUACCACUGUAUUCUUAAAAUGAGUAUGAUGAGCAGCUGGAACCUCAGAGGAGCUGGCUGGCUCAGCAAUUUGCUUUGCAGUGCACACCAGCCAGAAGCUUUGCUCACAUGUUCCAGCUUCCCUACCUGUCACCCAACUAGCCAGCCAUCAAGGGAGAGAGGGAAUAGUUUGGCCACUGUAAAUUACAACAACCACAGAGGUAAAAAAAGAAGAAGUCAAUGAUAGUGGGAAACAAGAAAAGAGUACAAUAGUCUGUCAUCUCAUCCCCCUCAAGCCUAGAAGCACCCCUGAUAAAAAGAAACUGAAAUUGACCAAUUCAGUCAUCCCUACUGUGGAUUUUCUCCUUACAGUCUAUCAGUAAGGCCUCUUUUCUUUGGCAUAGCCAUUUUAAGUUAGGCCUGCGCAAACACAAUAGAUUGUGCCCAGCAUAACACUAGUCAAAACUCAUUAACUUCAACUGAAUUUGUAACAAAAGCUACAUGGAAAAUAAUGUUUUGGGAGUCGCAAUAAUUCUUAGCAGCUACUUAGGUUAGCCACCGUAUAACCACUUCUUUAUGCAAGCAAUUGUGAUAGACAUUAAGGAUAUCUGAUUUUAGAUUUGCUGGUGGUCAUUUACGGGGCAUUCAAAUUUUAAAAAUCAAGAGCAUUGUGAGAAACCAUCAAAACAAUAUAUAGUGUUUUUAUAUUGAAAUACAAGUACCAAAUUGAAAACAACAAUGAUUCUCAACUGCAGUUGCAUUUCCAACAAAACAUCUCAGGGUGUGAUUUACAAUUAGCAACAUCUUGAAAAUGAGCCUUCCUUUUACAUUUAAAACUGCAACCACUCAAUCCAUCAAGUCUUAAAAUCUUGUUCUUGAUUAAUUGCAUUCUCUUAUGCCAUUUCUCUCAAGAAGGCUUCAUAAAAUCAAGGCCACAUUAUUCAAAGCAUUCUUCAAAUGAGAUGCAUCCCCAGCUAGCCAAUUCAAUCACUACAGAGCUCGCAAACAGUAGGUGGUUUGUGUUUUUGCAAAUUUGGGAUUCAUUACAGAGGCAUUAGGAUAUAAUUUACUAUGACUUGGGCAUGCUUUUCUACCUUCGCAUCAGGAUUCAGCUGCCUCACUCUGUGGACUAGCUGAGGGGAUCUGGGGGUGUUGUGAACUAAGCACAUCACACUAGGGAGAAAGAAGCUGUUCCACAGCAAAUCACUCAAAUUGAUUAAUAAGCUGCAUUGAUUGGCUCCUGAGCAGAGAUGUCCAGUUGCUCUCCAGUGAGAAGAUUAGGGUUUCUCAAAACAAAGUACAGUGUGGAGAGAAGCCUCUACAGGCCUCAGUCAGUGUUGCUGGUAGAAACUGAUUUUCCUACAAAGAGAAACAGCAUUUCAAAUACUGAAGUACCAUCUGCAUGUCAUCAAUGCAAAAACUGGAAACAGGAGCUAUGAGCUGAACCAUAUCUGAACAUUAUAUUGAACAGGUGACUUGUAUUAUUCUUUAAGAUAUAUAAAUAGAUGCUGGCAUUAGGAAUGCAACAAUUUGAAAGGAAAAUCCAAUUUUAAUAAUAAAAUGUUGACCUAGGUAAGCAUGGUAAGCAUCAGAACUGAAGCCUUUUUAUGAAAAUUGACAGAAUUCUGCAGCACAUAAGAGCAUCUGUGCUUAAAAAUAUUACAGAAUAUAAAUGGGUUUUUAGAAUGCUACUUUCUUUGUAGAAAACAGAAAACAGCUUUAGAAUAUAGCUAGGUAGGACUUUUUCCUCCUGGAAAUGUUCAUAAUGUUGCUUCAACUGCCCUAAGUGAAUUACUGAGAUAUGCUGUGGGCACAAAUAUCACUUUCAAAUGAAAAGCUCAAAUGCUUGAUAUUUGGAGACAGAAAGGACACAUUUAGUGCCUAUUAAACCAAGAUAAAUGACUGGUUCAAAAAACAUUCAUUGUCAUUCUCCAUUUUCCUUGCAGGUCUUAUCCGAAUUCAAGGAGGACUGGAAAUUCAAGGUGAAGCUUAAAAGUUGUCCUUUCUGUGUGAAGAAAUGGUUUGAGGUUUGAUGUCUAAUGGUACUGAAUAUUUUAGAGAAUUAUUUUGGAUGCAGGACUGUUCUCAGCACUCUUGAUCUCUUGUAUGUGAUCAAUCCAAAUAUAUUCCUUGAAGUUCUCUAUGUUUCCUCGUAUCAGCUCGGCCUACAAGACUUUUGGUCUACAAGUUGAACACAGCCUAGUUACCAUCCAUAAUAUUCAUGGGACUCAAUAAACCUACUAGGUUUUACUUCCUAUCUGGGACUGCAAAAAAUAGGAGGGUUGCCAAAUAUCUAGCAGGCCAUGAUAGAUUAAGCUUCAGGGUUAUGCAGUUCUAUCUUUUUCAGUUUUCAGAUUAUGCCACCUCAGGGCCAGAGACACUGUGUAAACAUCAUAGGCCCCAAUUCUAGGGGGCAGAGUCCAUUUGCCCUCCCAAUACUUUCUUCUGGGGGCACAGCCCCCUCAAUAUUUUUUAUCCCCCCACCUGCCUGCCUGCCUCCCUUGCUUCCUACAAACAUGCAGACAGGUGAGCCAGUGGAUGUGGUGCUCUCCCGUGGCAGGGAAAUGCAACCUCCUCAGGGGACUUCACCCCUGAAACUACUGCAAUGGUGGCCCAAGGGCUGAAGAGUGUGCCUGUCCAGCUGACCAAGGGAAGGAGGGAAGAAGGCAGAAUGAGUGCCCCAACCAUGCUGUUGAUGCUCGCUGUGCCUGUCUGGGUGCACGACAGGCUAACCACCCCACCCCAACCCCCGACUGGAAAGGAGAAUGGUACUGGCUCCCCUCAAUGUUUUGCUCAAGUUGGUGCCACUGGUAAACAUACUUUUCCAGACUCUGCUUAUUGUUAAGUGUGUGCUGGUGGGACGUCCCAGGAGCAAAAAAUUGAAGUUCAAGCAAGAGGAACAUAAGAUAUGAAACUGCCAGACCCAUGGUCCAAUGAGGUCAGUAUUGUCUACAUUGUUUGACAGUGAAUCUAGGUUUCAUAUAAGAGUCUUUUGCAUCCCUGCCUAGAUAUGCCAGGGGUUGAACUUGGCACCUUCUGCAUGUUCUACCACUGUUAAGCCUUUCCCAGCUUUUCUGAUGUAUUAUCAGAGUUCAAGGACACAUUCCAGAAAUAGUCAAGGAGGAUGCCAAGCAGGUGAGGGGUGUUGCAUGGGCAAAGGGUGCAUAGCUGAGGAAUGAGGUGUGGUAUGGGUAAUAAUAAUGAUGCUAUAUUUGUUGCCUGCCCUUAACUAGGUGGUUCCAGAGUGGGUCAUCCUCAGCAUACAAUGAGAGAUGAGGAUUAAACAGUGGCUUGGAGGAUUGCAUUUGGUUCCUGAGAUCCCCUACCCCUGCACUAGUCCAAGUAGCAGACGUUAAUAAUAAUAAUAAUAAUAAUAAUAAUAAUAAUAAUAAUAAUAAAUUCAUUUCUUAUACCCUAACCAAUCUGGGUGACUUCCAACAAGAUACAGAGGGUCUGGGUGGAGAGACACAUCAGACAUUAAAAGUUUCCUGAAACAGGCCUGCUUUUAGAUGUUGUUUAAUUCUUUGACAUAUGACAGAAGGUCAUUCCACAGAGUGGGUGCAACUACCAAGAAGGCCCUCUGUCUGGUUCUCUGUAGCUUCACUUCUUACAAUGAGGGAACCACUAGAGGGCCCUUGGAACUGGACCUCAGUAUCCAGGCUGAACAGUGGGGGAAGAGACACACUUUCAGAUAUACAGGUCCGAAGCCAUGUAGAGCUAUAAAGGUCUACAGCAAAGCUUUGAAUUGUGCUUGGAAAUGUACUGGGAACCAAUGUAGUUCUUUUAGGACUCAUGGUAUAUAUUCCCAGCAGCUGCUCCCAGUCACCAGUCUGACAGCUGCAUUCUGGAUUAAUUGUAGUUUCUGAGUCACUUUCAAAUAUAUCCCCAUGUAGAAUGCAUUUAUCUGGUCCAAUCAGGAGAUAACCAGCGUAUGUACUACCCUGGCAAGAAAGUGGGCAGGAAGGUAGAGUCUCAGCCAACAAACAAGAAUGGUCCAUUGUCUGAAACAAGCAGUUUCUCUUCUUGAGAAGCUUGUCUUCUGAUUCAAGGACCUCCCUAGAUUUCCCAGAAGCAGGAACAGCAGAGGGUCAAGAUGCUGUUUUUCUGAUAUUUAUUUGCCUCAGUAUCACAGCUUUGAACAUUUGAGAGGAAGGAAAAUGUUGUGUUCCGUAUGGGCCAUUCCUAAUGGCUGACCUUCAGUCUUGCCUUUAGGAUAAGGGUUUGCUUCCACAUCUCCUAACAUGAUUAUCACUUUGUACUGCUUUACAAUGACAUCUAGAACAGCCUCUAGCAUUGCUUUCUAGUACUCGGUUAACUUUUAUUCACCAACAUUUAAUCUUUUGGAAAGAAAGAAGGAAAAAAAUAUUGCCUCUUUUCUCAAAAGAUGUAUGCACAUCUAAAUUACAAAGUAAAACUUUUACUCUUCACUUUUUCCUUGUCUCAUUUUGUUUGAAAAACUUAUCCAGAGGGAUAAUACACAGGGCUCUUUCUGCAUUUUAGCCAUUGCCUGAUGAUUCUGUGAGUUCCAACUGAAAAGCAAUGGCACAAAAUGCAAUCCACAUCUGACUGCAUUUUUUUGCAUCAGCCUCGCUGCAAAUAGGAGAUUCUGUGUGCAAUUGAACAUGUACAGCACACAGAGGAAGCAAAGGCAGAUUUAAGGGGAGGGGGGGUGCUUGGUUCAGUCAUUAUGUGGAAAAAGUUACAAGUGAGGUGCCACAAGUUUCUGUCCUGAGCCUGUUUUUAUGUUUAUAAAUGACUUGGAUGAAGGACUUGAGUGUUUGCUAUCAAAUUUUCAGAUGACACCAAACUGGGAGGGGUAGCUAAUGCGGCAGAAGACACAAUUGGGAUUCAAUCUGACCUUAACAGAAUGGAGAAUUGGGCCCAAACUAACAAAAUGAAUUUCAAUAGGGACAAAUGUAAGGUUCUACACUUAGGCAGGAUGAACCAGCUGCACAAAUAUAACAUGGGGGGACAUCUGGCUUACUAGCAGUACAUGUGAAAAGGAGCUAGGGAUCUACUGAUUUCAGUGGGACUACUCAAAAUAUGACUUUGUUGGAUGUAGCCUAGUAUUCUUGUCAUUGGUAUUUUCUUUAAAACCAUUGAUUCAUUUCAAUUAAACUCCUAUCAAGGUGGUUGGCAAUCAAGUGGGUACCCAUAAACAGAUCGGUUUCCAUUUGUUAGAAACUAUUUGUAGAUCACUGUCUAGCCUGAGAGCAAAAGACAAAUGAAUAAUGAAUUUGAAAAAUAUGCAUGCAAGCAGGGACAAGCUAGUGUAUCUGGUAUGCUGAGAGUUUUGUUCUCUGUAUUCAGAAAACCGGAUAGAAUUUUGCAGUUGAAAUGGAAGAGGUGUGGUUCAUGAAAUACAAGCCAGGAAGAUUUCUAUAUGAAAUACAAGUGGAUUAAAAAAAAAAAAAAUCUGCAAUACCUUCAAGAGCAGUAAUGACAACUGAUACCCUAGAAAAGAAGGAAGUUACAGGAACCAGAGUCAACAAUAGAAUUACAUAUUUUUUUAAGGGGAAAAAAAGAACCAAUUACAUAAAAACCUUCCACAUAGUGAGCAUGUAAUUAGAACUGAUGUCAGGCUUCCACAAAAGAUUGUCAGAGAGAUUUAAUGAUCUUUCUGAAUGUAAGAAUAAUGAUUACAAGAAAGAAAGAACAAGGAACACGAAUUAACAUGUUCCAUUGGAUUUUUUUUUAGAAAAGACAAAAGAAUCAAACCUCUACCUCAGUUAUGCCAUAAGUUGGUGAUCACUGGUUAAAAAUAGAAAUAAAAAUGCUUAUAACAUCCUGAUUUGCAUUCCCUUCUGUCUGCUGAAAGAAUGUGAAAAAAUAAUAAUAGAGCAACUGUUUUUAUAUAAAGUAUGCAGCAAGGGCAUGAUAUAACUCCCGGUGGAAAGACAACUAUUGAUUUCAGCAGGUUUGGAAUGAGGCAAGUGUUAAUCAUCUUAUAUAACUGUGUCCACCCAGAGGAGAGACUUACUAUUCUUCCUACAACAUUUGAAAUAUUUCAGAAGACACUCCUCUUAUGUAAUUCAGGUUGUCAGUAUAAAAGUAUCUAGCAACUUUGUAAAAAGGCUGAACUUAGAGACAAUGAUGUGGCUUGUAACUACACACACACACACACACACACACACACACACAAACAAACAGGUGUUUCUGUGGUGAUGUGAUGUGAUGUGAGAGUGGAAAGUUUAAUUAGAGACAGGAUCAUUCCAUUCAAACAUGUGAAAAGAAAUUAUCCUGGUUAUGAAAUGAAAUGAUUGACAUUUUCUGAAGUGAAUUUUUAUUUUCCCCCAUAGCAAUGUAACCUUGAUCCCACGUUAAGUGUUUCCUUCAUUUCCUGCCAUUGACAUGGAAAGUUCUUUGGAAACAACUAUGCAUGCUUUGUGGAAUAGAAACUUUCAGAAAAUAAAAUAAUUUCUCCAUCUCCUAAUGGCUUGACAAGGUUGGAUCAGCUAAAGGAGUUAUAGAGAAGGUUUAAUUAUGUAGCUGUGAUAACAGUCCAGUUAAAACUGACUAGCAAAAUUAACUGAUCAGCCAGCUUUGUUCAGAUUGCCUUACAUUUUUUAAAAAUAAUGAGACUAAUCCAUAUAGAAGAUCCACGUAUGGUUACCUCUACCACAAUGUAGUCUUAUGAAGCUUAGCCAUGCAGUUUUGAUGACUGAUCAUCACAGACCUACGAUGUGUAAUCACAGAUUCAUCACAUACACGCUUCACUCCCAAAUACAGUCCAUACUACAUAAAAUUAUAUAUACCCUGUAACCUUUCUGAAUUUUCUUUGGCCCUAUUUAUACAUUAUCCCAACCAUCAGGUUACUGACCUGCACAGCUAAGCACUUGUGUUAAAAAAUGCCCAUAUAACCAGAGGCACCAGGUUGCCCCCAAGCUUGGGGGGUGCCUGGCAUGAAUCACAUGAAUGUGAUGUUGCACACAGUGGAGGAGUCUGAGCUGCUCUGGAGGAGCUGGCCACUGGACUUGCGAUGCACGACAUGUGCAGGGCUGCCUCAAGAAUGAGCCUCAUGGUUACAAUGAGCCUCAGUUUCAUACAAGCCACUUCACACAAGCAACCAGUUAAUGUUUGCUAUUUGAACAGGCCAGAUACCAUCCCACUGGGAUAACAAGUACACAUGGCCUUUAACAUGUAGGAUUACAGAAAUUCACAUUCCAUGACCAUAGAUUCCUUCUACUACUGCACUGAAAAAUUCUUCUGUAUCUUUCUAGGCUAUUCUCCAUCAGUUAAGAAAAGAAAAGAAACUUUAAAAAGAAGGGGAGAAAUUGUGGUGAAACAUCCAAAGGAGUGGAUUUUUUAUCGCUCAAGUUGACUGAGCAGUUUUGUGAGUGUACUUUCAUUCUACAAAUCAUCUCUCCAGUGGUCUGCUUUCCACAGCCGUCCCAGGUAUCUGCAUUUCCUAAAAAUCCCAUUACAUCCUCAGCUGGGCUUUCCUGUAAUCAGAGUUCUCCCAUCCAACUGACCGCUGUUCAUUGCUUGCUUUUGUUUUGUUUUAAGAAAAGUCUUUUUAGGGUUUUUUAAAGGGAAGUAAGAACUUCACUUAAAGACAAAACCAGUAAGUACAAGGAUAUCAGGUGCUAAGUAGUCAGCCCCAAUAACCUCCCACAUUUCAAUUAAAGCCUGUGGGGAAGCAUCAUGAGGUAAUUUCUCUCAUGGGGCUUUUUCCAAUCAGGAAAUGAGGGCAGCCAGGGAGGCUGCAGAGUGCUGGAUAAAUGUUUAAUGGAAAGAAAAACCUACACACUGCCCUUGGCUAUCUCAGGAUUAUAAAGUUAAACUCAAUGCUAAAAACAUUCUAAAUGUGCCCUGUGAAUGGAACAUAGACAAAGAGAAGUCUCUCUCAUGGGAGAAUAAAGCUUUUUUAUAAAUUGAAAGACAGGUUUCAGCCCAACCCCUUCAAUGAAGUCCUGUAAAAAAUGUUCAUGUGCUUUAAAGUAUUUUAAACUUCUGGUUCUCUUUUCAACAGGCCUUGUUUGCUUGCAUUCUAGUAUGAUGGGCUAUUUAUCCUUUUAAAUCACCCCAAAUAUAUGCUGCAUUGCAUAUUUAGAAGCAAUCAUUGGUUUAAAGACAAAUGUCUGGCUAUGGAGAACAAGCCUGUGCUAGUUACCAGAUAUUAACUAACUGGAACUGCCUGGAAAAUAGACCCUUUAGAAGCUAUGAUUUUAUGUACCCUGCAGGAAAUUGCUUUACAGAAGCUCGUAUUUUUAGAAAUCCCUCCAGAUUAUUUUCUUUAAUGGCAGCCACUACAUUCACAUUUAUUAGCACAUUCUAAAUCAAAUCUAGAGCCGAAGUUUAUUUGUGAGACUUUUUCCUGCUGUUUGCAAUUACCUCUCUGAGCUAAAGUCAAUGUUAUAUCAGCAAGCAUCUGUAGAUUUUAAAAUAAAUGCCAUCAAUUGUUUCUUGCACUUCUGUCGUUUUCUUUUUUUUUGUAAUCCAUCCAACCAAUCAAGCACCCAAAAGUGGAGAGCUGUUUAAAUAUGCACUGAAGAUGCCAUUGCAUACUCAGCCAUAAAUGCUUAAAGAGAAAAUGAUGCUAACCAGCGAAACACAGGAAUAGCUGUACAGAAUGUGAAUACCAAUAAUGACUAGACAACUGAAAUGUGAUGAGAUAAUUCUUCCUAUAUUGCUCUCUUCUCUGUAUGCUAGUACAACAUGACCCUAAUUGUUUGGACUAGAAGAAAUAGGCGAGUUUAAAAUCCAUGUUCUACCUUCAUUAUCACAGGCAGUAAGCCUAUGAAUUACCAGUUACAGUGGUACCUGGGUUAUGAUACCUUUGGGUAACAUAAUUUCGAGUUACAAAUGCGGCAAGAGUUCGCCACACAUGCAUGCACAGAAGUGCUCUAUCACACCAUGCAUGAGCGCAGAAGCUUUUCCGGGUAAGUGUGGACCCCUGGGAUGAAUUACCUUCGGAUCUAGAGGGUCCAGUUUACUGGGAAUCACAAGUGUGGGGGGUGCUGUUAUACUCAGUUCUUGUUUGCAGGUUUCUCAUGGGCCCUGUGAGAACAGGAUGCUAGAUGACGAUGGUGAUGAUUAUAGAUUUAUAUAAAGCCUUACAUCACAAGAUCUCAGAGUACUUCACAAGAUAAAAAUAAAAGGUAAAAGAACAAAUAAAUAGUUAAAACAAAAACAACAAAACAAUAACCCCCCCUUCCCACAAACACAUUUCUUAGGCUGUGGGAUAUUAAUCAGGCCAAAGAAGAACGUUUUCACUUGACACCUAAAGAUAUAUAACGAAGGUACCAGGAGAACAUCCCUGGUGAGAGCAUUCCGUAAAUGGGCUGCCACUGCAGAAAGACGCUGUUCUUGUGUUGCCACCCUCCAGACCUCAAGAGGAGGAGGCACACAAAGAACAACCUCAGAUGAUGAACACAGAGUCCAGGUCAGUUUAUAUGGGGAGAAGCAGUCCUUGAGGACUAGAUGCAGCAUGUCUCUUAUGUUCUUAUGAAAUAAAAUCACCCCAUGUCCUCUCCCAACCCCCAACCCCGCAAAUGAAACUAUCCCUUUCCCUUUUUUCCACUUCUAGCACAUCUUGGAAUUGGCCUUGGAUUGGCUUUCUACCUUCCCCUUUGCCUCAUUUCUCAAUCUCAGUUUGGCUUUCUUGCUUGGGAAGAUUCAUCUAGAUACUAUUAUUAAUUUAUGUAUUGUUGUUGUUAUUAUUAUUAUUAUUAUUAUUAUUAUUAUUAUUAAUUUAUACCCCACCCAUCUGGCUGGGUUUCCCCAGCCACUCUGGGCAACUCACAACAGAAUGUUAAAAAUGUGAUAAAAUACCAUACCUUAAAAACUUCACUAAACAGGGCUGCCUUCAGAUGUCUUCUAAAAGUCAGAUAGUUGUUUAUUUCCUUGACAUCUGAUGGGAAGGUGUUCCACAGGGCAGGCACCACUAUCAAGAAGGCUCUUUGCCUGGAAUAACCAGAACCAAUAUUCUCUGGAUGGUUUACAGAAACCUCCCCCACCCUUCAAUAAAAAUAAAAAAGUUCUUUUUCCAAACUGUAAGCAUCAGAGAACAAAAUCAAGCAAUACAAGACUCACAAGCAGACCUUAACACUUUUGAAAGCCAUAAAGAACCUCUAAAAUGCCCUGUAAUCUCUCCCCUCCCCCCAUAAAAUAAAAAAUAAACUUUUUCUGACACUGAAAAUAGUACAAAGUGGGUUCCAUAUGAGCCUCUCUUGAAAGGUCAUCCUACAGCUUGGCUGCUACUGUGGCUGCUGUAAUUCACUUGGUAUAAAUCAGGCAUGUCCAACAGGUCUAUUGUAAUCUACUGGUCGAUUGCGGGAUGUCCCUGGUUGAUCCUGGUUGAUCUUUUGAUCAACAACUCUGGCUCCCUAAAAAAAGCUCAAAAACUCUGACAAUGGGUAGAUCACUGCCAUUCUUUUAUACUGUGAGUAGAUUGCAGUCUCUUGGGAGUUUGACUUCCCUGGUAUAAAUAAUCUGGCCAAUAGCCAUUUAGAGCUUUACAUCAGGAGUGGCUAAUCUUUGACCCUUCAGAAGUCCCUGGUCCUCAAUUCCCAUCAGCCCCAGUCAGCAUGGUCAAUGGGCAGAGAAUAUGGAAGUUGUAAUUCAGUGACCUCUGGAGGACCACAGGUUAACUACCCCUGCUUUACAGCCUAAAAUCAACUAUCAGAUAUGGACUAAUUUGGAGGUGCUGCUUUUCAGAUGGUGAUACAACAAUAAUUACUGCCUGAAAGUAGAAAGUUAAUUAAUUAAUCCAAGUGUUGCAAAACAGCUGCAAAGGUGCAUGAAUUUAGUAGAACUAGGAUAAAGCAGUACCACAUGAGCGGAGGACAGAGAAUGUCCAAUUAGUCUGUUGCUGUCUGGUUCCUGUUGGGUCCAGUCUCUUUGAUCAUUUCUUCUCUUCUUUGUUCUGGAAUAAGGCCCUAGGCAAGGCUUGCUUUGAUAAGUUAGAUGAACAGAGAACAUCUCUUUUUGUUGUUGAUUUCAAAAGGCAUCAGAGACUCUGGUCUAAGAUGGGCAUCAACAAGAGUGUACACUUUGCAGAACAGAUUAUCUCCAGCCAUGACUUCUCCCUGUUUUAAAGUGUAUAAGACCUCUUAUUAUUAACCUCUCUGGUCACAAUUUUUGUACAAUUCAUCUUUCCAGGGUUUAAUCUUGACAAUCCCUUUGCUUCCCUGGAAGUAUUGAUGAGCAUUGACCUUCAUAAUCAAAUCUUCAGUUCGCAUCUCUUUCAGGCCUGGGGAAAGCAGGAAAGCAAGCAAAGUCCAUCCCAUCACAUUUUGCAAAAUAACGGGUUUGCAUACAUUUCCCAACAUUAUCUAUUUAUGGGGACAGCUUCUCUAUAAUGUAAGAAAAGCUUCAUUAGCUUACAUUGAAGUCACCAAGAUAUGCAGUUGACUUGACAGAGAGAGCAGCAGGACAUUUAUGGGGCAUUGCAAAAAUAAAAUGCUUAUCUUUUAUUUUAGAUGGAUCAAAUCAGACAUGACUAGCAAGUAUUGUCUGAAUGUGAUCCCUGUUUCUUUGGUGUUUUUUUUUUUAAAUGGCUACAUUAAAGAUGCACACUCAUUCACUGUCACAGUCACACUGUAAGCACUAACAAACAGAAAUGAAUUCUUCAAGUGGAGAGUCAUUUGUUUUGUCUUUUGUGCUAGUCAGUUAUAUAUUAAAAUAAAGCAUAGGGAUUGAUGACUCAUACACACAAUGAUUUAUGUCACAGUUCUUUAUCUUCUGGUGGCUUUGUGUAUGUGUGUUGUUUGCUUUUUGGCAGUGCUGUGAGUACUUUGAAGCUAUCACUGCAGAAUGAAAUGGCUGAUUUCUGAUUCCAUCUGAGCUGUACUCAGGAGGUUCACUGGUGUGCAAGAAUGGGCUGCAACCAAGAGAAUGAGAGCUUUAUCUUUAAAUAUGCCAGUGAUGUGGCAGACAAAGUAAUCACUGCUACCCCCACCAAUCCUUCUCUGGUGCUUUUGUCUGCCUUGGUCCUCUGCUUUCAACAGCUUUUCUCACCCUAUCGGAGGUGGAGAAGUUGGUGAAAAACAACAGAGUUAGGAAUGGGCAGGAACAUCUGCUACUACCUUGUCUCCAGUUUGAUUGGUGAGGUUAAAGCUUUUUCUCCAGAUUAUCGCCUGGAAACCCUCCCUAAAUGAAAGUAAAGAUAGGACAGCUGCACAGAAAACACUGAAAUAUAGGGAAGAAACUUAUGGAUUUUUCAUAAAAAGUGAUUCAGCAAAAUGGUGGAAAUUUCAAAGAAACUGCCAGGGUGGAAAUAGCACUCUCUGAUUUAGUUGAUGGUAGGGAUGGCCACAUCUAUAAAUUUCAGUUUCUCUUAGUUUCUCUCCCCCUCCCCUCCCCAAUCUUAAAUUCAGGUCUCUAGUGUUCCAUGCAUUUUAAAAAAUGUUUUCAUGCAAAUUCAUCAGCAGAUUCUUCCUAAGAUACACCUGUUCACAUGAAAUUUCCCCUCAUAUUUGUAAGAUGUUUAUAUUGUUUUAUUGCUUGCUGUCUCGGGCUCCUUUGGGAGGAAAGGAAGGAUAUAAAUUAAACUGUUAUUAGCAGUGUUUCCCAAACUUGGGACUCCAGCUCUUUUUGGGCUACAACUCCCAUCAUCCCUAGCCUGCAGGACCAGUGGUUAGGAAUGAUGGGAACUGUAAUCCAAAAACGAGCUGGAGACCCAAAUUUGGGAAAGAUUGACCUAAAGGAUAUCGCCUGCUCUGCUGUUAUUUCUCUCCCCAUCUCUGUAUCCCUGAAUGACUUUAGUGUGCCCUUGCACAACUCUUGUUCAUUUUGAUACGGAAGGGGGGGGCAUGUCUUCUUCACCUCCUUCUUCGCUACAAUAUAUCCAUUUAUUUCCAAUUCUCAAUGUCAAAAGGGACUAAAAUCUAUAAAAUUCAUAGAAAAUCAACGUGCCAAUUUGCUCAAUUUCUCUAGGACUCCAUGACACCUUCCCUGUCCUCCAUAAUCCCUCAAGCAAGGUGUCAAGACCCUAAUCCUGUCAAAUCACUCUGCCAAGCCUUUCCUCCGGGCAAUGCCAGGUGGCCGACCAUGCAUACAUGGACCAUUGUCUUCUCAUCAGGUACUCAGGAUGUGCUUAUCUGCGCAUAUCUCCAGCUCUGCAUAAUCCCCCCUCCCUCCUCCGUAUGUUAAUCCUGUGUAACCCAACCUCUUCUUAAUGUAUUCAUGAUGUAAUCUGUGUAACCCAACCUCUUUUUAAUGUAUUCAUGAUGUAACUAGUGCUGGGAAGUUUUUGCCUCUGCACAUGAGUCUGAGAAUGUUCUGAACAGUUCCCAUUGAGUUCAUGAAACAGUGUACCCUGACCUGUUCUUAAUGCAUUGCUGACCACAUCUACGGAACGUGAUUGUUGUAUUCUUUCAUGUUAUGUUCUUUCAAUAUCAAUCUUUAGUUAUAAUUUAAUUAGGAGGCUUCAUGCCUGCCUAGUUCCAGCUCCGUUUCUCAGCCUUUAAUCUAUCAGUGAUUAAUGUAA